rnacentral:lncRNA from 1 species
UAAUCGUCUCAGUGAGUAUUUGAUUAAAGAAGGAUAUGCCAACAAUGUCAUCUGCCCUUGUGUGUUCAUUAAGAAAUCAAAUACUGGAUUUGCUAUAGUGGCAGUGUAUGUCGAUGAUAUGAACCUAGUUGGAACCCCCGAAGAGCUCAACAAAACUGCUGAAUAUCUGAAAAACGAAUUUGAAAUGAAAGACCUUGGGAAAACCAAAUAUUGUCUAGGCCUGCAGAUCGAGCAUUGUGUUAGUGGAAUUUUGGUCCAUCAAUCAGCUUACAUUGAAAAAAUACUGAAGCGAUUUGGCAUGGACAAGGCUUAUCCACUUAGCACCCCAAUGGUCGUUCGUUCUUUGGACAUUAAGAAAGAUCCAUUUCGUCCAAAAGAAGAUGAUGAACUGGUCCUUGGUCCAGAAGUACCAUAUUUGAGCGCAAUAGGUGCUUUAUUGUAUUUAGCACAAUGUACUAGACCAGAUAUAGCUUUUUCAGUUAACUUGUUAGCCAGGUACAGCUCUGCUCCAACAAUUCGUCAUUGGAAGGGAGUCAAAGAUGUUCUACGAUACCUUCGUGGGACAACAGAUAUGGGUCUCUUCUACUCAGACAAGCCCACAAAUGAACAAAUCCUUGUUGGAUACGCAGAUGCUGGUUUUCUCUCUGAUCCGCAUAAAGCCCGCUCACAAAAUGGAUAUGUGUUCACUAAUGGAGAUACUGCAAUUUCAUGGCGAUCAACAAAGCAAACGCUAGUUGCAACAUCUUCCAAUCAUUCGGAAAUAAUUGCUUUACAUGAAGCAAGUCGUGAAUGUUCUUGGUUAAGAUCAAUUAUCCAUCACAUCCGGAAUUCAUGUGGUCUACCUUCAAAGACAGACACUCCAACUGUCAUCCAUGAAGAUAAUGCAGCCUGUGUCGCCCAAAUGAAGGAAGGAUUUAUCAAAGGUGAUAAGACUAAACACAUAUCUCCAAGAUUUUUCAGCGCACAUGAGCUUCAGAAGGCUAAAGUUCUUGAAGUCAGACAAAUCCGUUCCAAUGAAAAAUUUAGCAGACUUGUUCACCAAAUCUCUACCAAAGUGCACAUUUCAGAAGUUGGUACAGGGAAUCGGAUUACGUCGGCUUACAGAUUUGAAAAAUGCGGAAUCAGGGGGAGAUACAAUUCAGGGGGAGCAUCCAUGAUACAUGCAUGUUGUACUCUUUUUCCUUCGCUUAGGAUUUUUCCCACUGGGUUUUUCCUAUCAAGGUUUUAACGAGGCAACCUAAGCAUGCUCAACACCAUCCGGGUAAAGUUGUACUCUUUUUCCUUCGCUAUGGUUUUUUCCCACAGGGUUUUUCCAAGCAAGGUUUUAAUGAGGCAACUGAUGUUGAUAUGUGGGCAUCCAAGGGGGAGUGUUGUAAAUGAUGGGUAUGUUUGCCCACAUGUGUAUAGUAAUGUGUAUAGUAAAGUAUCACAUGUGUACUAUAUACUCAUAAGCUAAAUAGUAAUGUUUUGUAAUUUUCCAUUGAAGUAGCUCUAUAAAUAGAGCAAUUCAAUUGUGCAAAGAUUAGUGAAUGAGAAGAAGAAAGAAAAGAGAAAUAUAUCUAAUAGCAAUAAUAUACAUUACUUCCUCUGCAACAGCUUGUGUCGGUAUAUUACUCUGCAACUGCUUCGUUCAUUCACCGAGUAAAGGUUAUCUCUCUAUAAAUUUUGCCUAUUUAUAACAUAACCUAAAUUAUUUAAGUUGAUAAUUUAAUUUAUCGUAAAAUUAAUCUAAUGAUUUGUGUAAAAAAAACAUCACAAGAAGACAUUAAAAGAGCAGCUCUGCACAGUUAAAGUUAAAAAGCCUCAGUUUUCUUUCUUUUCUUUUCUUUUUUUAACAAGCCACACGUUUUAUAUAAACCUUAAUGAUUGAAUCAAAAGAUGAAACAAUUCUUAGGUUCUUUAAUUGUUUCUCUAAAAGAUGUAAGUUUUUAUUUUAUUUUAUACAAGUGUGGUUGCAAAGAGAAUAAACGGCUCCAUAUUUCUAAAGAUGAGAAAUUUAUAGUUUUAUUGCAUAGAAGAUUUGAAUCAAGGGGCAUCAAAGCGCUAAAUUCGAAAAGAUGACGAUAGUUAAUGGUUCUAACUUCUAACUCUCUUGGCCAAUGCAAAAGUUUAGGAGAGGAACUCUUUAUUGUUGUAUCUCUCUUUGUGACCUUCACUCUCUUACAUAGUCAAACUCAACUCAAUCCCAACUUAUUCUAGUUCGAUAUCUAGUCGAUACGAGUUCGUUUUUCUUUUGCGGAUCCUUCUGCUUGUAGUUGUGAGCAAAUCAUCAUAAUCCUCCAGCUUGAACAAUAUCAACGAUAUCCAAAUCAUAUUGUUGACAAUAUAUAGAUACAUACAUACAUACAGCAUUAUGAAUUUCGUAUCAACAAUAGGUACACAAUGGCAAAUAUAAUAUUUACACUAUCUCAACAUUUCGAUAUGGUAACAAUAGUAUCUAAGUAUAAUACUAUGAUGCUAUAUGUGCUAUAUAUAGGGGUAAUUUAGACAUUUCAUCAUUUCAAGCUGUUGUAGAUGUUGUGAUUAGUGUCCAUUUCUAGUUAGCUAAACACUUUUUUUUUUCUUUUCAGAACUUCGGAUUUCAAUCUUAUUCACGUGAACUUUGGAAAUUUUAGGAUGGGAAUCAGAUUUUCCAGUAUAACACUUGCCCCUAAGCACAAUUAAUGGGGACUUUGGUAAAGUGCAUACGAGGUUGGACCCAAUGAGACAUGAACCUAAAGAUGCUUUAAAAAACCUAAAUAAAUCAAAUAUGACUUUAGCCCUGAAACUUAAUUUUCUUUAUAUAAAAUUUGACAUAAGUUUUUUACUCCAAUAAAGCCCAUUGAUAAGAUUUCACAUCAGCAAAUUCAUUAAUUAUAUUUGACUUUACACUUUUAAAAAAUUUUAAUGCUUAAAAUACCCCUAUUUGAAUGUUUGAUGUACACAAUUAAUUAUGUACGGAUUGUCAGGAAGAUUUAAUGAUUUUACAAAAAUAAUAAAAUAAUAAAUUUAUUGCCUAAAAUAUAAUAACAAUAAAACAUGUCUAAUAUAUGUAAUAAUACAUGCUUAGUUUAGUCAAUCAAAUUAUAUUUUACAUAUGUAGGUAAAUUAUUUCACACACACACAUAUAUAACAAAAAAAAAAUGCUUGAAUCGUAAAAAUUCAUGCAAAAUAAUUUACCUACAAAAAAAAUGUUAUAUGAUUCAGUGCACCUACAAAAAAAAUUUUAAUUUGGUGCACAUGGACAAAACGUAAUGCAAUGUUGUGGAAUGGAAAGGCUCUGGAGCCUUCGGAAAUGCACUGUACAAUGCAAACAUGGCUACCUGAAUUCUAUAAAUGAAAUGGGCCAAGGAAGAACACCAAUGUGGUCACUGGGUAGCCAUGGAAGCCCUCAGAAAAUGGAUGGAUUAAAAGUAAUUUUAAUGCGGCAUGGGAUGAACAGUUAGAGAUUAGACGAGUGGGGGUAGUGAUAUGGAAUGACAAAGGGGAAUUCAUGGCUGCAGUAGCAAUGAGAGUUGAGGGAAUUGGUUCUCCAUUAUUGGCAGAGAUUAUGGCAGCAAGGGAAGCAGUGAUUUUUUCACAACACUAGCAGACUACACACAUGGAAGUUAAAGGGGAUGCUCUGAUGGUGACCACGACACUUCAACAUGAGGGCCUAAAGGAUUCAUCUCCUUUUGGGCACAUUAUUACAUAUACUAGGCAGAUUUUAAAUGGUUUUCCUUAGUGCAAGGUUACAUUUGACCAACGCUCGACGAACAAGGUGGCACAUAGGUUGGCUAGAUUGGGCAUAGACCUUGAUACUUCGGUAGCUUGGUUCGAGGAACCUCUUGAUACAAUAAUAGACCUAUUAAUUGAGGAUAGUAAUCAUAUGUAAUCACUCAUGGUGUGGGACGCUCUUUUUUCCUUCGUCCCUGGCAAGGUUUUUAUCAAGGCCCACUAUAUGCACCCUAUCCUGUUUGUACGUAUUAAAUUCCUAUCAAUGAAUAUCGUACCUUCGCUAAAAAAAAAGCAAAAUAAUUUACCUACAAAAUAAAGCAAACGCAAUAGAUGCAAAAUAAUGUACCAACAUAAAAAGUAUUAUUUUUUUAUUCAAUACUAGUUUACCUAUUAUUUGUACAUAUAAUAAUAAAAUAUGCCCAAUAUAUACAUACAAAAUAAAAUGCCUACAUAAUGAAGAAUGCUAUUUGAUUCAAAAUUAAGUGUGAUUGUGUAAAUCCUAGAUUAGAUUUGAUUCUAGUUAUUCUUUCCAAUAUGGACUUGUAUUCCUUGUGGAUGAAGGAUUUCUUCUCCCUCUUAUUACUAUAAAUAAAGGCACUGCUUAGGGGGAAUAACACAUCCUCUACACAAUUCUACAAACACAUCUUUCUUUCUCUCUCUCUCUCUCUCUCUCUCUCUCUCUCUCUCUCUCUCUCUCUCUAUCUCUCUCUCUCUCUCUCGCUCUCUCUCUUUUCUCUCUUUGCCGCCGACCCCCUUCCUCUUGUUAGAUAAAAUGGCCACAACACGUUAUUAGCACGCUCCUACCGAUGCGCUUAGGAAUCUAACGUGGAAGCUUUCUGCAUCAAACCAGUUCAUCCAUAUCAUCAUGCAAUCAAGUUCUUCCAAAACAACGGUUUUAAUCUCGAUAUUUUUGCAGCCCUGAUAGCAUGAACAUUCACCAUAAUGCAUGACCCAACUUUACGUUUUUCGAAUUUUAGAUUUUACAUAAAUUGUGUAUGCAUUAUAUUCAUAAUUGUUGAAUUAUGUGAAUUUGAUAUUGUGAUGAAUUGCAUCAAAUAUCUGCUCAUGCAUUGAAUUACAUCUUGUUAAUAAAGCUUCAGAGAGCUUUAAGAGAGAGAGGAAGUAGAGAGGAAAAAAGCUAGAGAGAGAAAUUGUUUCUGAUAUCUCAUUUCAUUAACCAUUCACUUAUUACAUCUCUUGUUUAUAUAUAUAAAUAGUUCUCCACACAUAACUAACCCACCUAAUACACUUGUGACAAAUGGCACACAUCUAAUACAUAACACUUGGCAUAACUAUAUGCUAAUCUCUACAGUCUAACAUUCCCCCUCAAGCUUAUGGAGGUGAAAACCGAGCAUAAGAUUGGAACAAUGCACAUUAAACUGUGAAGAACACAACCCUUUAGUAAGAACAUCUGCACACUAUUCUGCAGAAGAUACAAACUGUAACAAAAUGGUGCCUUGUUGAACUCGUUCUCUUACAAAAUGACAGUCAAUUUCAAUAUGCUUUGCUUUGGAAUGUAAAACUGGAUUAGUAGCUAGUGUCAUUGCAGAAAUAUUAUCACAAUGUAGAAGUGGAAUAGACGAACUAGGAAUGUGAAGAUCCUUGAGAAGUUGUUGAAGCCACACAACCUCGGCAGUAAUAGUAGCCAUUGCCCGAUAUUCAGCUUCUGUAGACGAUCGACUCACUGUAUGUUGCUUCUUAUAACUCCAUGAUAUGGGAUUAGAGCCUAAAAACACAACAAAACCAGUAGUUGAACGCCGAUCAUUAGGAUCACCAGCCCAAUCUGCAUCUAUGUAUGCCUUAAUAUCCAUGAAACCAGGUCUAAAACAAAUACCAAGCCUAAUUGUCCCUCUAAGGUACCUCAAAAUCCUUUUAACAGCAACAAAAUGAUCUUCAAGAGGUGAAUGCAUGAAUUGACACACUUGAUUGACUGAAUAUGCAAUAUCAGGCCUUGUGAAGGUGAGAUACUGUAAAGCCUCAACAAUACUUCUAUAGAUAUUGGGAUCCGCAACAGAAGAACUACCAUGAUUCAACAGUUUUCUAUUGGUAUGACAUGGAGUGAUGCAAGGUUUGCACUGAAACAUAUCAGUUUUAUGAAGAAGAUCUGUAAUAUACUUAGACUGAUGCACAAAAAUAUCAAAUUCUUUGGUCAAUUGAUUGAUCACAUCUUAAACAUGACUCGCAACACUUCCAGUAAGAAUAAUAUCAUCAACAUAUAAGAGGAGAACUACAAUAGAGUGACCAGUUGAUUUCACAAACAAUGAGGGAUUAGCAUAGGAUGAAGUAAAUCCCAAAGUUAAGAGAACCUGGUAAACCAUUCAUUCCAAGCUCUCGGAGCUUGUUUUAAACCAUAGAGAGACCUUUGAAGUUUGUAGACAUACUCAGGGUGAUGAGCAUCUACAAACCCUUGUGGUUGAGCCAUAAAAACCUCUUCUGCGAGAAACCCAUGCAAGAAAGCGUUUUUGACAUCUAGUUGUUUCAAUUUCCACCCUUGUGAAGCGGCUAGAGAUAACAGAAGCCUCACAGUAGUAGGUUUAACGACCGGGCUAAAUGUCUCAUAGUAAUCAAGAGAAUCCCUUAGCCACUAAUCUGGCUUUGUAACAAGCAACAAAAUCAUCAGGGUUCUUUUUUAUUUUAUAUAUCCAUUUACACCCUACCACAUUUUUAUUGGGAGGUAGAGGAACUAAACUCCAAGUUUUCUGUUGAAUUAAAGCAUCCAUCUCCUCUUGCAUAGCUGUUUGCCAGUGAGUAAUUUUGGAAGCUGCUGAGUAGAACUGAGGUUCCUUGACAGAAGAAUAUUCUUGAAUAAAAGCACUAAAGACUUACUUUUUCUUGACAAUGCCAGACUUUGACCUAGUCUGCAUGGGAUGAAUAUUAAUGGAAGACAAAGACGCUGGUUGCAAUUCUAUAGCUUGUGACACAUGAACAUUGGGAUGCAAUUAUGUAGCUUACGACAUAGCUUGAUCCACUUGUGCAGAGAUAAGAUCUGGAACUGACAGUGAAGAUCUAUCAGUGUUUGAUGGAUUGCAUGACUGAGAAACAUAUGGUGAAGUAGAGGAUGGUGAAAAAACUUGUGGAAAAGGAAUAGGAACCAGUAGUGGAUGAUGAAAUGUAUUUGGAUGCAUCACCAAGGGUAGGGAAGUCUUAGGUCUAGAUGACUCAGAAAAAAAGAUUGUAUGAAGUCGAGGGAACACAUUUUCAUCAAAUAAAACAUGCCUAGACACAAUAAGUUUAUGAUCCUUAAUAGCAUAACAAAUAAACCCCUUGUAUUGUGCUGCAUACCCCAAAAAAAUGCAGGUGGUGGUUUUUGGAUCAAGUUUAUUAUUUCGAUAUGGUUGCAAAGAUGGAUAACAAGCACAACCAAACACCCUCAAGUGCUCAAACUUAGGUGCUGAAUGAUAUAAUAGCUCAAAAGGAGACUUCAUCGACAAUACUGAGGUUGGCAUCCUAUUUAUGAGAUAUAUAGCGGUGGCACAAACAUGAUACCAAAACUAAGAGGAUAGACUGGCAUGUUGAAGUAAAGUUAUGGCAGUUUUAACAAUAUGCCUAUUUUUUCUUUCAGCGAGUCCAUUCUGUGCAGGAGCGUAGGGACAAGACCUUUGAUGUUGAAUACCCUUAUCCCUAAGAAAAGCUUGAAACUAAGCACUCAUAUAUUCUCCACCACCAUCACUCUAUAAAACUUUGAUAUUUGCAGUAAAAGAAGUCUGAACAAAAGCUUGAAACUGAACAAAUGUUCCAAAAACAGCUGCUUUAUUCAUUAAUGGGAAUAUCCAUGUGUAUCUUGUACAUUCAUCAAUAUAUGACACAUAGUAUCUAUAACCCUCAAUAGACAUACUAGGAGCUGGACCCCAUACAUCAGAAUGAAUGACUUCAAAGGGAACAACAGACUUGGAAGCCAUUACAGGAAAUGGUAGUCUAGUAAACUUGCCUUGCAAGCAAGCAAUACAAGUAUGAUGAGUGUCAUUACAAGAAAGAGGAAUGGCUUCUUUACUAAGAGCUAUCUUAGUAACUGAAUUUGCAGGAUGACCCAAUUUGCAAUGUCAAAUCUCAUAUUUUAUUUUCUGUCCAAUAUAUUCUGCUGGAUGAACUUUGGAAGGCUUGAGCACGGGGAGGGGAUAAACUGCAUUAUGGCUCAGUCCUUGAUAAAGUAUUUUCUGAGUGACCUUGUCCUGUAUGCACACAGAGAAUUCAUCAACAAUACACUUCUAAUUAUUAUCUUUGCAUAAUUGGUGCAUAGAUAACAGAUGUUGAGACAACUGUGGAACAUGUAAAAGGGACUUUGGUUGGAAAUUAUGUGAUUGAAGUGAAAUAUUUGACUUGCCAAUAUGACUAAUAUGCAAACCUUCACCAUUAGCCCAUGUGACUGUGUCGGAUGAUGGAUAUGAAGUAGCCAUUUGCAGGUUGGACAAAUCCAAAGUCAUGUGAUUUGUUACACCUGAGUUCAGCAACCAAUACUCAUGUGAAAGAGCAGAAGGAGAAACACUUGUUCUGGCAGUCAUUGCAACAGAUGGCACAGAUUGAGACAUCAUUAUAGCAGGAUUAUAAGAAGAAGAAGCCAUCAUGUGAGGAUGCUGAGUAGAUGAGGUCAUAACAGAGUUCUAUGCAUUGAAAAAUGUGUUAAGAGAUAGAGACUGAAACUAGUGAAACUGCUGAGAAUAAGGUGGCAUAGGCAUAAGUUGAAUGGAAGAAUUAGUUCUGUCAAAACAUGUUACAGCAGUAUGCCCAACUCUGUGACAUAUCUGACAUCCUUUUUGAAAACAGGUAAGAACAGUAUGACAUUUUCGGUUGCAUAUUUGACAAAAUUGGAAAGGUUGAUACACUUGUCCUGAAAAAGACUGAUUUUGCAAAGGUUGCAGUGAUGACUAAGAACUAGUGACCAAAGGUUGCUGAAAGGAUGAUUGAGAACCAGAAUAAAAUUUCUUCCCUUUUCCUUUUAGUUUGAAAUUAGGACCCCUGAAGUUGUUAUAUGUCCCUGAACCAUUAUGAGCUACACAUGCAUAUGGUCCACUCAUCUGUGAAACAUGCAUUGAUUGAAACAUAGGCAGUUGCUGAAAUGGUGGCAUUGGUUGAGAUGAAAAAGCAUGCUGACCACUAACUUCAAGAGAGUACUUCAAACCAUAUGAAUUACCACUUUCAAAUCCAGAACUAAGAGAAUUGGCAAACAUGGCAGUCAUCACAUGAGCUUGCUUAACCACCUCUUCCAAUGUGGACUCUUCAGCUUUGAGUUGAGACCGAAGUUCUUUAAGAGAAACAAGAUUUUCUCUGCCCCUAAUAACAGCUUUGAUAGUAUUAUACUCAGAGGGAAGACCCUAAAGAGCCACAAUCACUAUAUCUUCAUCUGAAAUCAUCACUCCCACAGUAGCAAGUUGAUAUCUACAAUCUUUAAUGUGCUGUAAAUACACAUCAAUGGAUUAUGUAAGUCAAUCUUCAUUUGAACAAUACUAGUUCUUGUCAUAUUAGAAAACCUUUACUAGUUCUUGUCAUAUUAGAAAACCUUUCUUUGAGAUUAAUCCACAUUUCACGAGAACUUUGACAGCCAAUGACACAAGAUAAAGCAGCAGUGGAUAAUGUAGCAAUUAUAAGAGUCAUUAAAGCUUUGUCAUGAAUUCUCCACACAGUAUAUGCAUCAUUAAUCACUGGUGGAUUUUUAACAGUUUCAUUUUCAGAUUCAGAAUCGACAUAUUUGUUUGGACAAGAAAUAGAACCAUUAACAAACCCAAGAAUCCCAUUUCCAUCGAGCAAUAGUUCCAUUUGAAAAUUCCAAGUAACAUAGUUGGAAUCAUCAAGAUUUACAAUCACAGUGUUCCCAACACUAGGAAUCAACGAAGAAAUUGGUGACUGAGUGAGAGUUAAUUGAGCAACUGUAACCAUUGUAUAGCAGCACAACAAAUCAAUCAGAGGCUUUGCUUCGAAUGACAAAUUAAAGUAGAUUCCACAGAAGAAUUACCACAGACAAGAGAACAACCCAUAGAGAUAUGAAAUAUAGAGAGAUCUCCAAAGCACAAAGAUAAGCAAAUGUGUCGAAAUCAAGAACACACCGACAAUCGAAUUUGAUCGAAUCAAGAAACAACAACAUCACAACACAAAUUCUUCAAAUAACAACACGAUCUUCUCCAAAGAAAGCAAGAAUCAAUGGAGGAAACAGUGACUUACAGAAAAAACCCAAAGAAACUAGGGUUUCAAUCACUGACUUAGCAUACCGACUUAGCACCGACUGUGCAACGACAUAGCUUCAAUGAGUAAAUAACAAUCGACAGAGAAGUAUACAGCGACACCACCAACUAUCAAUACGAGCGAAAGCAAAGGUACAUCGAUCGUCGUCAACUGAAUGAGUUACCCGUCGCCGGCGAAGAUACCAUGUUAAUAAAGCUUCAGAGAGAUUUAAGAGAGAGAUGAAGUAGAGAGGAAAAAAGCUAGAGAGAGAAAUUGUUUCUGAUAUCUCAUUUCAUUAACCAUUCACUUAUUACAUCUCUUGUUUAUAUAUAUAAAUAGUUCUCCACACAUAACUAACCCACCUAAUACACUUGUGACAAAUGGCACACAUCUAAUACAUAACACUUGGCAUAACUCUAUGCUAAUCUCUCUAUAGUCUAACACAUCUUACAUAUACUUGCAAUUGAAAUUAAAUUAAUAUUAUGUAAUUAAAUUUAAAAAAAAAGGGUUUCGUGGGGAACCCCGAGGGCGACGACUAAAAGCCAUGUCGUUGGGCUUCUCGCACCGAGCCGAGAAACACAAAGCCACGGAGCCAGAAGCUCUAGGCUUUCCAACCCAAAAACCUGAUGCCAUUCAUGGCGUCCUUGUCCACGACCACCACGGGCUUGGCAUUCAGCCACAACCCUGAGCAUUUGGUCAUUGUCACAGACGAUUAGAAGUCAUUUUUUAUGGAAAUUGGACCGAGAUUCACUUGAAUCUCAUCAUAACUUUUUGAAAAUCCGAUUCAAAAUUUUCUAGGGUUUGUUGUUGAAACGUUGAGAUUAAACCAUCUCCGUUCACCACCAUGGUCGUUAACGAUAACCAUGACUCCCCUAGAGUCCUAACAACCUAGACACGGUUGCCAAAAGCAUCAGCACCGGGCAUCUUCUCCGAUGCGCACACCCAGCAUGGUUGGGAUUUGUGUUUAGUCUGACCCAUGGACCUUUGGGCCUGAACCCUUCUCGGCCUAUCAACAAAUAUUUUUUAAACUAGCCUAGUUGCUGAUUCCCCUUGACCCACUCGAGACAACAGCCUAAUUAGGCUUGGGUGUCCCCGUGUCCCCACUGCAUCUAAUAUGUGCCCUUCACGGGUCUUCUUGGACCUCGCCCAAAACGUUGGGCCUGCUCCUACAGCCCAGAAAAGCCUGCAGCAUUUUCUGAUGGCUCGACCCAUUUUAUACUUAGCCUAAUUUUUGGGGCUGGGCUGCACGGUAUCAACCUACUUAGCCCAUCCGUGGGCUUUGGCCCUUUAUUUUGGGCCUCAAGUUUAAUUGCCUAAUUAUUUUAGGCCCAAUGGGUUUUAUAAUUUUUCACCCACACUUCAAUUUGGCCCGAAGUCCAAAUAAUUAAUUCAAUUAUAAUUAUAAACCUGAAGUUCUAUUUGUCUGCAGGAACAUAUGAACCUGAAGUUCAUAAUUCUUUCCAAACCUGAAGUUUCUAAAAACAUGCCUAGUUUGAAUACCUUAAGUUUUCCUUAAAAACAUCAUGCAUGAAAACCCGAAGUUUUUCAUGCAAAUUUAAACCAAUACAUGUCUAUCAGAACCUGAAUGUUCUACUUUUAUGUGAAUGGAUUGAUUUUUUCUCCAUUAGACUAACCACAUCUUGUCCAUCUAUUUUGUGAUAGGAACAUGUCGAAUUUGAACAAACUCGAUUUCACUGCUUUGGAGGUCUUUGGAAGGAACUACCUCAAGUGGGUCCAAGAUGUGAAGCUCCACCUCACUGCAAAGAAUUGCAUCUCGCUAUUGAAGAUGAGACGGACAAAUCGGUUGGCGAAGUUGAGAAAGCCACUGCUAUGAUCUUUGUUUGAAUACAUAUUCAUGACACCCUGCAAACCGAGUACUUUGCUGAGAAGGACCCACGAGCACUAUGGGUCGCUUUGGUUGAUUGCUUUGAUCACCAAAAUGACAUUUUCUUGCCUGAAGUAAGACAUGACUAGUAGCAUUUGCGCUUUCAAGACUUUAAGUCAGUGAAUGAAUAUAAUUCUGAAGUUUGUCAAAUCCGAUCACUUCUCAAGUUUUGUAAUGAGACUUUGACCGAAAAGGAUCUAAGAAUGCACCUCUAACAACCCUCUCAGACCGAUCCAACCUGAUCGAAUGAUACAGUAAGACACAUAUAAUGUUGUUUAAUGACACAAUUUUGACCAUUGAUGAGGCACUUUCUUCUCCAUGUUCCGGAAGAACGUUGUUAAGUUUUAAGGACAUUAGAGAUAAUAAUUACUACAUUGAAACUUAUGUAGAAAAUGGAGUUAAAUUUCUAUGCAUAACUUCCUAUGAAUAUGGCCAGAAGCGUAUUCUAGAGAAGAUGGAGCGUAUCCCAAGUGGUCUGAAUACUACGAGAACCAUCAUAUGGCUGGCCUUACAUCUGGGACUGUGCAUAAAAUUACACUUUGGCAUAAUCAUUUAGGACAUCCUAAAUGAAUAAUGAUGCGCUGUCUUCUCAAAUCAUCACACAUGCAUCCACUAACUAGAAGUUUAGGUUCGAUUCAAGGAAUCGCAUGUCAGACUUAUUCUAUGGGAAAACUUAUUACUAAACCUUCUUAUGACAAGAUCGUUCGAAUCCUCCCAUUUUUCUAUAAAGGAUUCAGGGGGAUAUUUGUGGACUGAUUCACCCUCUAUGAGGACUAUUUAGAUAUUUUAUGGUUUUGGUUGAUGCUUCUACAUGUUGGUCACGUAUGUGCUUAUUGUCCAUAAGGAACACUGUAUUCUCCAAACUGUUGGCUCAGGUUAUCAAGCUCAGAGCUCACCACCCUAAUUAUCUGAUCAAAUCUAUUCAAUUGGAUAAUGUUAGAGAAUUCACAUCUAAAACUUUUGAUGACUAUUGCAUGUCGAUUAGGGUUGAAGUUGAACAUCUUGUAUCCCAUGUUCACACCCAAAAUGGCCUGGCAGAGGCAUUCAUUAAGGGCUUACAAAUGAUUGUUCGAUCGUUGGUCAUACGUACCAAGCUCCCAAUCAUUGUUUGGGGCCAUGCAAUAUUGCACGUAGCGAUGUUGGUCCGCUUAAGGCUUGUUGCAAGGUGAUCUGUUUACCGCUCGUUUUGUGGAUUGUCACUUCUAUGAUAUGGUAUUCUCGUCGUUAGGGAAAGAUAAGAAAAUUAACUUUCUUGAACAACGACGUGAAUUAUCAUGGACGACUAUCAUUUUGUCUCAUUUAGAUCCUCGCACUGCUCAGUCUGAAACUGAAGCGUAACAUAUUAGAUAUCCAGAGCAUAGUUCAGAGUAUGCCAGAUGCUUUCACAGAUCUAAUGCGAGUGACAAGAUCACAUAUUCCAACUGCGAAUGUGCCUGCAAAGAUGGAUGUACCAAAUGUAUGACGAACUUCCCUCCUGAAGGCCCGGGACGCCAAAUUUGGUGGUCCAUGCACAUUAGCAGCUAGCCAAUCAUUUUCCCCUACACAAAAGCGUGGCAGACCCAUUGGUUCAAAGGAUUCACACCUUUUGGAAGAAUAAACCUAUGGCACAGGUACCUGAAGAGCCUACCGUGAAUCCAACUAUCGCUUACUCAUUCUAUUAAACUUAUGAGGAAAUUCUAGAUUACGAAAGCGUCCUUGAAUAGACGAAUCCACCUCCCAAGAAUCUUGAGAUUUCGAUUUAUUAUGCUCGCUUAUAUGAUGUGUGGUGUAGAAAUGAGAUGAUCGUCGACGAUGCAUUAACAUAUGUAGUAGCUACUGGGAUCAUGUUGAGCGAUGACAUUGAACCCCGUUCUGUUAAUGAAUGUCGAUGUAGAACCCCAAUUGGUCAAACUGGAAACAAACAAUUCAAGUCGAACUCGAUUCACUUGUGAAACGUAAGGUGUUUGGACUUGUAGCUCCUACUCCUCCACAUGUGAAGCCCGUUGGCUACAAGUGAGUUUUCGUUCGGAAGCGUAAUGAGAAUAACGAAAUUGUGUGUUAUAAAGCUCGUCUUGUUGCACAAGGCUUCUCACAACGCCCCGAGAUUGACUAUAACAAAACUUAUUCACUCGUUACAGAUGUGAUUACUUUUCGCUACCUUAUCAGUUUGGUAGUUUCCGAAAAACUGAGUAUGCAGUUGAUGGACGUAGUAACUGCGUAUCUUUAUGGGGAUCUUGACAUGAAAUUUAUAUGAAAGUUUCUAAAUGACUUACAUUGACUAGAUCAAAUAUUUUCAAACCCCGGAACACACUCUCAAUUUGGCUAAGGCGUUCACUCUAGUUUGAAGCAAUCCAGAAGAAUGUGGUACAACCGUCUGAGUGAGUAUUUGACUAGUCAGGAAUAUGUGAACAAUGAACCAUGCCCUUGUGUGUUCAUUAAGAAGUCACAUUCCGAUUUUGUGAUAGUUGCAGUAUAUGUUCAUGACAUGAAUCUUAUCGGAACUCCUGAAGAGCUUGCGAGGACUGCCGCGCACCUGAAAUCGGAAUUUGAGUUGAAAGAUCUAGGAAAGACUCAAUACUGUCUCGAUUUAGAGAUAAAGCACUGUUUAGAUGAAAUCUUAGUACAUCAAUCGAACUACACCCAGAAGGUGUUGUGCCACUUUAAUGAGGAUAAAGCGAAGCAUUCGAGUACUCCUAUGGUUGUUCGAUCGCUAGAUGCAAAACGAGAUCCCUUCCGUCUGAAAGAGGAUGAUGAAGAGAUUUUGGAGCUUAAAGUUCUUUAAUUAAGUGUGAUAGGCGCUUUAUUGUACUUAACUCAAUGCACUAGACCUGACAUCUCCUUUGCUGUUAAUCUUUUGGCAAGAUACAGUAAUGCACUAACACGCAAACAUUAGACUGGCGUUAAAGAAAUAUUCCUUUACCAUAAGGGUACUAUGGAUUUGGCCUUGUUCUAUCCAUAUGGAUCCUCGAGUGAUGUCGCAUCCCCCGCUUCUCGAGUUGAUUCUCGCCUUGUUGGUUAUGCCGACGCAAGAUACUUAUCUGAUCUGCAUAAUGCACGUUCUCAAACGGGUUAUGUCUUUACCGUUGGAAGCACCGCAAUCUCUUGGAGGUUAACUAAACAGACCUUAGUUGCCACUUCGUCUAACCAUUUUGAAAUUAUCGCCUUACAUGAAGCAACUCAGGAAUACUUUUGGUUAAGAGCAGUUGUGGGCCAUGUUCGAAGCUCCUGCGAUCUUUACCCCGUCGUUGAUGUCCAUAUAACGAUCUAUGAAGACAACGCAACAUACAUCGAAAAGCUCAAGAAUGGUUACAUCAAAGGAGACAACACCAAGCACAUUGCGUCAAAGUUCUUUUUCUCACAUCAACAACAAUAGUAUCAGAAGAUUGAAGUCACGCAAAUCCAUUCACAAGACAAUCUAGCUGACCUAUUCACCAAACCACUACCGAAGAUGACGUUUUAGAAGCUUGUUCAAGGAAUUGGUAUGCAUAAACUUUUUGAAUUGUAACAUUGCUAGUUCUCUUUAGAAUUGUGUCAAACUCAGAGGGAGUAUCCUAAAGUAUACUUAUUUGAUCUUAAUGUACUCUUUUGCCCUACGAUUAGGAGCAUUUUUUCCCACUGCAUUUUUGCUACCUAACUAUGUUUUAACGAGGAACCCACCUUGGGUUGAUCAUAUCCCUGAUGACGUCAUGUAGACGUUUCAUUUAACUUUGCAUUUCUCAUGCAUUUUUCCUUAGACUGCCAUAGCCUUAGGGUUUUUUAGUGAGACUUACUUCUUUAUGGAAGUUCCUACCUUAUUGAGAAUAGCAUUGUUCCCAUAAUCAGCGUCGAUGAGUUGACUUCCUCAACUUAUACAUGAUGCCGAAUCUACCUUGAGUAUUUACACACUUAAGGGGGAGUGUUAUAAACUUUCCUAGAUUUGAUUCUAGUUGUUCUUUCCUAUAUGGACUUGUAUUCCUUGGGGAUGAAGGAUUUCUUCUCUCUCUUAUUAUUAUAAGUAAAGGCACUGCGUAGGGGGAAUAACAUAUCCUCUACACAUAUACAUCUCUCUCUCUUUUCUCUCUUUGCCUCCGGCCCUCUUCCCCUUGUCAGAGCCACAACAUUACCUACUAAAUAAAAGAAUGUUAUUUGAUUCAACAUUAAUUUACCUACAAAAUAUAUGUUAGUUGCUCAUGAUAAAUUUACAUAUAGGUAGAUUAAUUAGUAUAAUAUGUUUGAACAUAUAUGUAGUACUGUGCAUAUAUAUAUAUAUAUAUAUAUGUGUGUGUUGAGCUUAAGGUAGUACUAUAUACAUUUGAACGUGUGUGUGUGUAUAUAUAUAUAUAUCUGUUAGGGGAAAUAAUAUGUGUAAUAACUAUUUGUUCAUUAUAAUUAAGGUGAGUAAUUACAUUUAUUGAUUUAUUUUGAAUAUUGUGGUACACAUUGUAAAUAUCUUGUAAUAAUAGGUCAAUUAUUUUUCUACUUAGUAGUCAUUUUCAAAUUUGGGUUUUAUUUAGAAGUUUAUAAUUAGGUGAGUUUUUGUCUAGAAAAUAACACUAUGUUUGGAUGAAGAAAUUUAAGAUUAAUACGGAAUUUUAAAAUGACUGGAUUUUAUUUUCUAGAAUUUGUGAAUUUUCUUGUUUGGUUAACCUAAAAGAAAAAUGGAAUUGAAUAUGGAAUUUGUUAUUUUUAAACUCUCAAUCAUAGAAAUUGGGAAAAUACACUUAUUUACAUGAAAUUUAAACUUGGGAAUUGGAGGUCCCAAAUUCCAAGUUUUUUUUUCCACGCGAAAAUUCUAAAUUUCUAUGUUUAUGAAUCCAAACAAAGGAAUUGGUGCAUGUCAAUUUAUAAAUUCUGACUUUUAUCCAAAUUUCAAGUUUAUUUCUCUCAUCCAAACAUAGUGUAAGAGUUGCAAGGGUCUACAUCUAAAAGAACUCAAUAAAAAGACCCUCAAAUCAUAGUACUCGAUAACGUCCCCACCAUAUAUAAUUGCAUGUCCCCCUAACCUCAAUCCCCAAUCCCCCAACCAAUGUUUUUCCAUCUCAGAAACUUCUAAAAGCCUAGACGAUACGGUCAUAUAUAGCUCGCUCGCUCUCUCUCUCUCUCUCUCUCUCUCUCUCUCUCUCUCUCUCUCUCUCUCUCAAUAUGUCCACAUCUGAUCCUUCUUCACCUGCCUCAUCGAAGUCGGAAAGUACUACUGCAGGCUCUUCAAGUUGUACAAGUACUACUCCAAGUAUUCAAAUGGUUUCCAAGUCGGUAUCUGAGAGGCUUCUGGGGAAGUUUUUUGAUGCUUCCCAAUACGACUUCGAUUACAAGCAGAGUGGUCUGUGGUCUCCUCCAUUACGCCGGAGGGUGUUUCUUGACUCACCCGGGAAUAUUAUCAUAUCGUGUUGUGAUGAAGAUGAAGAAAUAUACUGCUGCAAACUUAAGAAUGCCAAGAUGGCUUGGCCCAGACGCUUCUUCUCUUUGAUCGCUGUAAGUUUUUGCUUUCUUACUUUGUGGGAAUUCCCUGUUUACUGUGGUGCAUGAGUGAGAUACUUUGCUUGUUUCUUAAAUAUUUGAUUUUCUUUAUCUUUUUUUUUAUUAAGGGAAAUGUUUUCUCUUUGGGAGUAACAUUGUCUGACGAUAUAAGAUGUUUGUGUGGAUACAUAAUGGAUUUGGAUUGUUAAUUGGAUUUAUUUCAAGCCGAAUGAAUGGUUUGGUGAACAAUCUAGCAACAUAAGCGUUUUAAUUAUGACAAAAUAAUUACAAGUCUGGCAUGAAAAUAUUCCCCUCUACUUUUUCUCAAUAUAACGAAAUUAUAUAUAAUAUGUAUAAUAUUUGUGAAAAUUUUGGCAAUCACAUAUAGUACUGCGCCUCUUGCGGAGGAACAAUUGAAUGUACGGAUGGGGUUAUUUUAUGUGAAGCGAAUACUAUGCAUGUUGAACUAGCAUUGAAAAUGGUGAUGCUAUGUUGUUUUAUUUCUUGUUGCAGGCCUUAUGGUGCUCUCGAAGGCAAUAGCAGUUGGUGCUCUCCGUUUCAUAGAGCUAAUUCAAACACCCCCUUUAAUCGCUUCCCAAAGAGAAAAAAGUACUAAUUAGCUGUUAAUUAGAAAAGGUUCAAAGAGGAAAAGAAGGUGUCUUGUACAACUUUAGUUAUAUAUGAGUUAUGGAUAAAUCUUGUUAAGUAUAUUUUAUUUCUAGCUUAUAAUAUAAUGAACUUUUGUCAUUUUAUGCUCGUAUAGUUUGUAGAUCGAUAUAUAAAACAACUAGACUGUUUGAGCAAAUAGUUUGUAGCUUAAGUAGUUAAAACUAUAUUUACCUCCGCUCUCAUGGCAUGUUCGAUUUCCCACCCCCGAUAUCGCUUGUAUCAGAGUGUAAAAAAAUGUAUACGACUUGACCGUUCGAAUGUUUUUUCUUUAGGUAUUAUAAUUAUAGGCACAGUAGUGAAGUAAGCUUUCAAAUUUCUUAAUUGAUAAAGUCAUAGAUGUUGGUGGCUGGAUUUGAAUGAUACAGUGACCCAUCAAGCAGAAAUGGUCUGCAUGCUAGCAAAAGGAAUUUUCAGACCUGCAUGUGUCUUCUGCGGAGGCCACAGGUUUGCUUUUUGAGACUUUGAGGACACAGCAGCACAAACUAACGGCUCUUUCUUUCUUUAUAAACUUGAAAUAAUAGAUUCCCUUCCCCUACCUUUGGAGUUGUUCAAAGUUGGGUGCGCACAGAUCGUCUGCUUAAUUUGCCUUUUCUUGUUGUUGUUGUUGUUUUCCUUUUGCUUUUUGCUUGUGUUUAUUAAUAUACUUUAAUCUUUUUUAAACUUUUUGUGCACUUCUUAUAUAUGUUUCCCUGAAUGGAAAGAUAUGUUGAGAAACCAUUUAAACACAUAAAUGAAGUAAAUUGUAAUAGAAUUUAAAUUUUCUAUAAAAUCAUGGAGGCUCACUGCAAUGGAAUUUAGGCCUCUUUUUCUUGUCUACAAUUGACUUGGAUAUGAUAACUCACUAGAAGUAUUGAUUGAUGAAUUGAAUUGCAUUUUCAGGAAGUGAAGGUAGAAGAUGAAUUAGCCAUGGCAAAACUUAUCGCUCGCAAUCCUACCAUUUUUUGUGACACUUAGAAGGGGAUUAGUUUUCUUCAUAGCUAAUUCAUCUACUACCUUUACUUGGACAAAAUAAUACAUUAAUUAACUUCCAUUGAAUCUAGCGCCCAAGGCCUUAAUUAUGGUUUUAUAUGAAGUCAGAUAGGAAGGCGGUCAGGUAGGGGUGCUAAAGAGUGAUCUUUGUGGCCUGAGGGCAGCACCAUAUAUCCAGGAGCAAAAUAAGAUGAAAAAUUAAGGCCUAAUCGAACUUCAUGCAAUCAGAACGAAAUUAGGAAUUGCUUAACAUUGUCAAUUUUAAGCUGAACAAGUUCUGUAUAGUUAAACCAGAAAACAUUUUGAAUUUGGAGUCAUGCUUGACUAAGUUAGAUGACUUUCAUCGGUUUUCUAGUUCAAGUUAAACCAGCUCUUUAUUCGGUUUUGCAGCAGCUUGGAGGCUGCUCCUCGACUCCGCCUAACUUUUGGUUUGCAGUUGCAGCAAACUUAGGUGUUCAAUUUGAAAAUGGUCAUGAGUUAUAGUUUUCAAAAAUUAUGAAUAUUACUAAAUUACUUGAGCAACUCCGCCGUGUAAGUUUAUCUUACAUUGCCGGUCCCAAGCCCGGAUAAAGGAGGAGGGGGAGGGCGUCAGGUAGUCGACAGCCGGCACCCCAUGAUUACGUCGAAUCCUUAUGAAAAUGAAUCCAGAACGAAAUCGCGCUAAAGCUAGGGCGUCACCCGUAAGUGGCGCGCUGUGUGGCCCGAGCACAGUGAUAAGUGAGCAAGGGUCGCUGUAUCUCCAUCGGCACCCGGAUGCAGUGUUAAAUGAGCAAGGGGGCUAUAGAAACUUCUUUUCGAACGACUCCACUCAAAGUUGUUUGGGAGCAUAUGCUCCUAUCAACUUUACACGGGACACACAAAAGAAGUACUUUGAUCCUAUUAGACGGGGAAGGGUGAAGAAGUUAGGACAGAAGGGUAGAGUUCAAGAGAGCAAAAUGCGUUUAGGAACGUGGAAUAUAGGAACCUUGACGGGAAAAUCUAUGGAAGUAGUAGAAGUUAUGGUGAGGAGAAGGAUAAUAUUAUGUGCCUACUGGUCGUAAGGCAAAGGAUCUAGAAAACUCAGGUUUUAAACUAUGGUAUUCGGGCACAAAUAGAACGAGAAACGGUGUUGGCAUCAUCGUGGACAAGACCUUGACACAAGAUGUUGUAGAUGUCAAGAGGGUAGGAGAUAGAAUCAUGGCAAUCAAGAUUGUAAUAGGACAAGAACUUAUCAAUGUGAUUAGUGCGUACGCACCUCAAGUAGGGUUGGAUACGAGUUCGAAGGAGAAAUUUUGGGAAGACCUUGGAGACUUGGUGCAAGGAAUUGCUCAGACGGAGAAGUUAUUUAUAGGAGGAGAUUUAAAUGGACACGUGGGCAGGGAGACAGGCAACUAUGGAGGUUUUCAUGGUGGCCAUGGUUUUGGGGAGAGAAACGAGGAUGGGGAAGCUAUCUUGGAUUUUGCAAUGGCAUAUGAUCUCUUCUUAGUCAACACCUUCUUUAAGAAGAGAGAAGAACAUGUGAUCACCUACAAGAGUGGGCCGUCAAAAACACAAAUAGAUUUUCUUCUAAUGAGGAAAGGGGAUCGUAUAACUUGUAAGGAUUGCAAAGUUAUACCAGGAGAGAGCGUGGCUAAUCAACAUCGCUUGUUGGUGAUGGAUGUACAUAUCAAAAGAGUGAGAAAAAAGAACAAGACUUGGAAGUGCCCAAGGACUAGAUGGUGGAAUCUAAAAGAAGAAAAAUAAGCCAUUUUCAAAGAGAAAGUAAUCACCCAGUGUGUGUGGGAUAGAGAGGGGGAAGCUAACCAAAUGUGGGAUUCCAUGGCUAGUUGUAUCCGAAAAGUAGCAAAAGAGGUAUUAGGAGAGUCCAAGGGCUUUGCCCCACACCAAAAGGAAUCUUGGUGGUGGAAUGAGGAGGUACAAACAAAGGUGAAGGCUAAGAAGGAAUGUUGUAAAGCCUUAUACAAGGAUAGGACCGAUGAAAAUGGUGAAAGGUAUAGAAAAGCGAAGCAAGAGGCGAAGAAAGCUGUGAGAGAAGCUAAGUUAGUGGCUUAUGACGAUAUGUAUAAGCGACUAGAUACCAAAGAAGGAGAGUUGGAUAUCUAUAAAUUAGCUAGAGCAAGGGAAAAGAAGACAAGGGACCUAAACCAAGUAAGGUGCAUCAAGGAUGAGGAUGGAAAGGUUCUUGCUACAGAGAACGCGGUUAAAGACAGAUGGAAAGGUUAUUUUCAUAAUCUUUUCAAUGAAGGACAUGAAAGGAGUGCUUCUUUAGGGGAGUUGAGUAACUCAGAAGAGUGUAGAAAUUACUCCUUUUAUCGUAGAAUUCGGAAGGAAGAAGUGGUUGUAGCUUUGAAGAAGAUGAAGCAUAGAAAAGCAGUAAGCCCAGACGAUAUACCAAUCGAAGUGUGGAAAGUUUUGGGAGAGACAGGUAUAACAUGGCUCACUGACCUUUUCAAUAAGAUUUUGAAAACGAAGAAGAUGCCAAAUGAGUGGCGAACGAGCACUUUGGUGCCUAUCUACAAGAAUAAGGGCGAUGUACAAAAUUGCAUGAACUAUAGGGGUAUUAAGCUAAUGAGUCAUACAAUGAAGCUCUGGGAGAGAGUCAUUGAGCAUAGAUUGAGGCAAGAGACACAGGUUUCAGACAACCAAUUCGGGUUCAUGCCAGGGCGCUCAACCAUGGAGGUAAUCUAUCUCUUACGAAGAUUGAUGGAAAGAUAUAGAGAUGGGAAAAAGGAUUUACACAUGGUCUUUAUAGAUUUGGAAAAAGCGUAUGAUAGGGUCCCAAGAGACAUUCUUUGGAGGAUUUUAGAGAAGAAAGGAGUACGAGUAGCAUAUAUCCAAGCUAUACAGGAUAUGUAUGAAGGAGCAAAGACUACCGUAAGAACUCAUGAAGGACAAACCGAAAGCUUUCCCAUAACUGUAGGAUUACAUCAAGGCUCAUCCUUAAGUCCUUACCUUUUUGCGUUGGUAAUGGAUGAGUUAACAGGACAUAUUCAAGAUGAUAUUCCUUGGUGUAUGCUUUUCGCAGACGAUAUAAUGUUGAUGAUAGAUGAAACUCAGGAAGGGGUAAAUGCAAAGCUUAACCUUUGGAGAGAAGUGUUGGAAUCUAAAGGUCUUCGCCUAAGCCGAUCAAAGACAGAAUAUAUGGAGUGCAAGUUCAGUGCAAAUGGAGGCCAAAACGAGUUAGGGGUGAGGAUCGGAGAUCAAGAAAUACCAAAGAGCGACCGUUUUCGUUACCUAGGAUCUAUCUUGCAAAAGAACGGAGAAUUAGAUGGAGAUCUCAACCAUAUAGAAUACAAGCUGGAUGGAUGAAGUGGAAGAGUGCAUCCAGCGUGUUGUGUGACCGCCGUAUGCCACUGAAGCUCAAGGGAAAAUUUUAUAGGACGGCAAUAAGGCCGACGAUGCUGUAUGGCACAGAAUGUUGGGCGGUGAAGCAUCAACACGUACACAAAAUGGGUGUAGCGGAGAUGAGGAUGCUUCGUUGGAUGUGUGGGCACACGAGAAAGGAUAAGAUUAGGAAUGAGGAUAUCCGGGGUAAAGUAGGAGUAGCCGAAAUUGAAGGAAAGAUGAGAGAAAAUCGGUUACGGUGAUUUGGACAUGUGCAAAGAAGGCCUACUGACGCUCCGAUUAGAAGAUGCGACUAUGGGACAGAGGUUCAGGGCCGAAAGGGUAGAGGAAGACCUAGGAAAACUUUGGAAGAGACCUUAAGAAAAGACUUAGAGUACUUGGAUCUAACAGAGGACAUGACACAGGACAGAACACAAUGGCGUUCUAAGAUUCAUAUAGCCGAUCCCACUCAGUGACUUGGAUUUUCCAAGUCUCCAACCGAGAAGUUUUCCUCACUCGGUAAAUUAAGGGAACACUACCUCAACCUACAUGCUCCACUCACAAAGCUUCAACAUACAAGCUUCAACAAAAGAAAAUUCAAGAACUUAGCGAAGAAGGCUUUGGUGUAUUUAACACAAUACGUUGAAAUAAAAGAAAGCUUAUUUAUUGAUAUCCCCGAUAAGUUACAAAUAUGUACAUAUACUUGAGUCAAAAUAAACAAACAAGAGGGAGCCUUCACAAAGGUUGCUUAGGAGAAGUCUCAGCAGUCGGUAGAGCCCCAGAAAGAGAAGGCACCGGAGGGGGAUCAGUCGGAGCCUCAGUACUGGACAGAACCCUAGAAGGAGGAGGCAUCAGAGGUUGAUCAUUUGGAGCUUCAUUACGCGGUACAGCCCCAGAAGACGAAGGCAAUAAAUGCCUUUGGAACAAACCCACAAAUCUCUGAUGAUCAAGUAAAACCUGACCAUCAGAUUCCUUCAUCUGGUCAAGCUUCCUCUUCAUGUUUGUAGCAUAGUCAUGUGCGAGCCGGUGCAACUGUUUAUUCUCAUGUUUGAGCCCUCUAAUCUCCUGUUUGAGACUCAUCACUUCAGCCGCCAAUGAUUCAACUUGGCGGGUUCGAGCAAAUAGGCGUUGGGCCAUAUUAGACACAGAAGCCUGCACACUGAACACUGAGAGCCAGAGAAUCCUUAACAGCCAACUCAUCAGACCGUUUGGAAAGUAGUCUGUUAUCUUUGGGAGUGAGAAGGUUCCUGGCCACUACCGCAGCGGUCAUAUCAUUCUUCAUCACGGAAUCCCCAACGGUAAGAGGACCAGUAGGGGAGACGAAGGAUGGGCGCCAUAUGUUGUCUGGAGAAGGCGGGGCUGCCUCUUCAACAAGGUUCAAGUCAAAACGACGGUCGGAGGGGCCAGACAUUUUCAAAGGUGUUGAAGAGAGAAGAGGUCGAACAAAUCAAGAUCUUAGAAGUGCAAGAAUGGAGCUUCUACUGGUGGAUAUUCAAGUGUGCUUUGAAACUUAAUGUCAGCCCCUAUAAAAAUCGGCACUCGACGAAGCUUCAGAAAUCGAUGAGGCGCCUGCUCAGAAAUCGAAGAGGCGUUUGCUUUCUCAAAAGCUGGGCUGCUCAGAGACCAUGAGGGUCGAUCUCAGAAAUCGAAGAGGCGUUUGCUUUCUCAAAAGCUAGGCUGCUCAAAGACCACGAAGGCCGAUCUCAGAAAUCGAAGAGGCUUGCUUUCUCAAAAGCUGGGCUGCUCAGAGACCACGAGGGCCGAUCUCAGAAAUCGAAGAGGCACCUACUUUUCCAGCCUUGUCAGCACCUGUCACACGCACACUCAGCUUUGUAGAAAUUAUGGGCAUUCUGUCGAAGAUUUAUGGCAAAGUAGAAAGCACAUGAAUCGUACUGUUCAAUCAUCCACUUCCCACACGCAACAGUAGCUCAUGGGUACCACAGAUAACUUUGCCAAAGUUCUCUGACAAAGUUGAGACACGUGAAGCUUGCAGCUCCCACUACAUAGCUCUGACCAAGAAGGGUAAAAGAAUAGCAAAGAAACAACACUAACAAAGUUUAGACACAUAAAUUUUGAAGGUCUAGCUACCAUAUUAUUACCCACAAGGGUAAAGGAAUAGUACCACUGCUGGAUAAUUGGAAAGUCCCGAUGUGUCCACCUCUGUGCUUCGUGGCAAGGUAGACUAGCAAACAUGCCCAACCUUUACUCACAUUCGAGAAAACACUCCCAACAAGAUUGCUUGCUCCAAAAUCGAAGAGGCACCGCCCUCCGAAUCUCGAGAGCCAGACUCCCAACAUGAUUACUUUCUCAAAAAUCGAAGAGAGGGUAAAGGAACAGUACCACUGCUGGAUAAUUGGAAAGUCCCUGUGUGUCAACCUCUGUGCUUCGUGGCAAGGUAGACUAGCAAACAUGCCCAACCUUUACUCACAUUCGAGAAAACACUCCCAACAAAAUUGCUUGCUCCAAAAUCGAAGAGGCGCCGCCCUCCGAAUCUCGAGAGCCAGACUUCCAACAUGAUUACUUUCUCAAAAAUCGAAGAGACACCGCUCUCCGAAUCUCGAGAGCCAGACCUCCAGCAGGAUUGCUUUCUCAAAAAUUGAAGAGGCAUCGUUCUCCGAAUCUCGAGAGCCAGAUCCCCGACAGGAUUGCUUGUUCGAAAACCGAAGAGGCACCACUUUCCCAACUUCAAGAGCUGGAUCUCCUUGGAUAAAGCUUGUCUGUAAUCUUCACACGCAACAUCAGCUUUCCAGAUACCACAGACCACUUUUUCAAAGUGCUCUGACAGAGUUAAAACAUGUGAAGCUGACAGCUCCCACUACCGUGCUAUGACCAAGUAGGGUAAAGGAAUAGCAUUAUUACUUGAUGUUAGGGAGACUCCUAUAUAUGUCGACCUCCAUCCCCAACGGACAGGCAGACCUGCAAAAAUGCUCAACCCUUCCUCUUAUCUGAGAGGGCACUCCCAACGAAGCCUUUCGAAAUAUUCAGCUUUCUUUCCCCCCGAUAAUACCUCUAUAAACAAGCUAUACUAGAGCAAGAAUAUCUCAUAUCAUCAGGGUUAAAAGCAAGAGUAUCCCAUAUCAUGCUUUUUCCCUGUCUUUUCCUUUGGCCUUGUUCUUACCUGCAAGACAAGGAGAAAGAGAGCAAUCAGUCAGCACUUGGAAUCAAGCUUCCAGCCAGGAACUGACUGCCUGGAACCCCUUACCUGAUUACUUACCUGGCAUUGCUCUCGAGUACUCAUCUUCAACAUCUUAUGCUUCCAGGGAAGAUACCGUAUCUGCCUGAGGAACAGAUACGGCAAGUGAGAAGGAUACAAGGAAGCAUGUGGAGACAAGCGUAACAGCACACGUGCCGAUACAUCCACUACUCUGUUAAAAGCAAAAGUAUCCCAUAUCAGCAGGGUCGAACGUACUCUAGAUUUGAUGGACUUGUUUUGACCCUCAAAUUCUUCAGUCGGCCUUAUACUCUGGAGGAAACCAGAAAACCCUCCAGCCCAGUUCAAGAAUAAGUCUGUGGAAAGUUACUUAUUCAAAAGCAAAAGUAUCCCAUAUCAUCUCUUCUCAUUUUUCUUCUCUUUAUCCUUCAUGCUGCCUGCAAGAUAGGGAGAAUGUGAACAAUCAGCCGGAGCUCUGAUUGCUUACCUUGUCUGUCACCUCUUUCAGCAGAUCCCCUAGCUCGGCGACUUGGGGGACUCCUACUACAUGGUUUGUAUCGCGCUUGACCAAGCCUGAAACUACAAGUAAGCUUCAAGUGAAAUUGAUACAUUACCUUGUGCAUCUCCACCAGUUACAGAUACCACCCCUGGAUGGAGGAAGAGUACUUCCAGAGAAGAUGCCACAUCUACCUAUGAGACAGAUAAGGCAAGUCAAGACGAUACCACACUCCGGUACUUAGAAGUUUCGUGGUUACGAGAUCAUUCUCCCACAAUAUUUCCUAAUGUCAUUUGUACUAAAUCAUUCACUUGUACUCAUUAAAGGAGAGCUUGAACCUAUGUACUUGUGUAAACCCUUCACAAUUAAUGAGAACUCCUCUAUUCCGUGGACGUAGCCAAUCUGGGUGAACCACGUACAUCUUGUGUUUGCUUUCCUAUCUCUAUCCAUUUAUAUACUUAUCAACACUAAUGACCGGAGCAAUCUAGCGAAGAUCACAAAAAGUGACCGUUUUCGCUACCUAGGAUCUAUCUUGCAAGAGAACGGAGAAUUAGAUGGAGAUCUCAACCAUAGAAUACAAGCUGGAUGGAUGAAGUGUAAGAAUGCAUCCGGCGUGUUGUGUGACCGUCGUAGGCCACUGAAUCUCAAGGGAAAAUUUUAUAGGACGGCAAUAAGGCCAGCGAUGUUGUAUGGCACAGAAUGUUGGGCGGUGAAGCAUCAACACGUACACAAAAUGAGUGUAGCAGAGAUGAGGAUGCUUCGUGGGAUGUAUGGGCACACGAGAAAGGAUAAGAUUGGGAAUGAGGAUAUCCGAGGGAAAGUAGGAGUAGCCAAAAUUGAAGGAAAUAUGAGAGAAAAUCGGUUCCGGUGGUUUGGACAUGUGCAAAGAAGGCCUACUGACGCUCCGGUUCGAAAAUGUGACUACGGGACAGAGGUUCAGGGCCGAAGGGGUAGAGGAAGACUUAGGAAAACUUUGGAAGAGACCCUAAGAAAAGACUUGAGUACUUGGAUCUAACGGAGGACAUGACACAAAACCGAGCGCAAUGGCGUUCUAGGAUUCAUAUAGCCGACCCCACUUAGUGGGAAAAGGCUUUGUUGUUGUUGUUGUUGUACUAAAUUACUUGAGCGUUCAUUAGUUUCAAAAACAAAAAAAGUUGAAUUCGAGGAUGCAAAACGAGGCCUUGGUUUUUUCUCUAGUACUGUUCAGUUGGUUUGCAUGUGGCAUCACUCUAGUAGCCUCACAGAGUCUGUAAUACUUUAUCUGGUAAAAAGUAAAAUGUAAAGGGGAAAUCAACAAAGAUUGAUAACCGACCCGAAUUUCAAAAGAUGCAACCCGAUUGUGAAUCAGGUCAAUCAACCUCUCGCAUGGGUCUGUCAUCGAGAGAAGGCCGAUGAGUGCGAGGGAAGGAUGUGAAUGUAAAAUAGUUCUACAUCGGUUUGUAAGGGCUUAUAAGAGGUUGAAUUACUUUCUAUAUAGCUAAUUGGUUUUAUGAUAAAACCUUAAAUGUCUAUAUGAGUAGGAAUUUGAGAGAAUUUCUAAAUAUAUUUUCUUUUGUGCUUCUUUAAUUUUUCAGAAAAGUAAAAUAAUUAAUAAAAAAAUACUACUUUGAGAGAAUUUCCAAAUAUAUUUUCUUUUGUGCUUCUUUAAUUUUUGAGAAAAGUAAAAUAAUUAAUUAAAAAAACUACUCUUACUCCGUUUUUCAUAUUACAUUUGCUUCAAUGAAGAAUAAUUAAAAUUCUGGCCCACCACCUAUCUCUCAUGCCUCAUCCCUCUGUUCUUCCUCUGCCCACUUGUCGUCUCUUCAACUUCCGCCUGGGCAGCAGCCAUCAGCCAUGCCAUGCAUCUCAAUUUCUCUUAUUUUAUUUAUAAAGAAAAUAAUAUAAUUCGUAAGAAAAUAAUUUUACAGUAACAUUACAUGCAUGAUGUAUGUGGAUGUACGUAGGUAGGAGGAAGAGGUAGAAUUAGAGAUGGAUUUUGAGGCCAAAUUUACUCAGCCAUGGAGAAGUAUUCCCCGUAUCAUUUUUUUCUUAAUAAUUCCACUGUUAUCAUUAUUCUGCUUGGAAAUCCUACUCAUUGAUGGUUAAGUAAUUAGUAUAUUAACGUACUAUUUAUUCAAUCACAAAACAAAAACCUAAACCCUACCCCCUAUUUAACAAUAAAAAAAACCCUACCCUAUCCCUAGCUAGGUUUCUCGUUCACUCACAUACUUCUCAGUUUUCAGGUUGAAUUUCAUUAAUGAAUCUUCCAGCAGGCUAUAGGUUUUGCCCCACGGAUGAGGAACUUAUUCUGUAUUACCUUCAGCCCAAAGUGAACGGAAAGGAGGUACCCGGCCAAGGUAACUCCCCAGUCUUUGAUUUCGAUCUCUACGGCGUCAUGGAACCUUGGGAUAUAUGGGAGAAAUUCAAAACAAAAAGAGAAAACGACUUGAAGUUGAGUAACGACCUCUACUGUUUCACUACGCUCAAGUUGAAGACCACAGAGGGAACACGUAUCUGUAGAACCCUUCCGUCCGGCAGCAAGUGGAAUGGCGAAAACCGCCCUUCUGAAAUUAAAAAUUCUGGCAGUGAAGAUGUUAUUGGCCAUAAAAAAAGAUUUAGCUACAGCAAGAACGGGUCUGAUGAUCAGCAAGAUCGCUGGAUCAUGUAUGAGUUCGACAUUGAUCAAAAGCUGGUACUUGAGCCUAAACAAGUGAGUACAUAUACUUCUUUGUGUUUUAUUUUGCAUGUGUUUUCUAUGUCAGUUAGUCUUUCUUUGUGUGCAUAUAUACCUUUCGGUUCCUUUGUUUUUUUGUGUGUUCUAUCUUUUAAUUAAGAGUUCGUUGAGAUUAUGAUUACGAGAUUUUUAAAGAAAGCAUAAUUUUUAGAUUUCCUUUUUUUGGGGAAAAUUCGGAAAAAAAGGAAACAAAGUAGCCUUAAUAUAUACAAACCCUAAUCUUAAAUCGGCUCAAAAACAAAAACUCCGGCACGUUCUCGACUGAAGCGUCUCCUCACCUGCUUGCUCAUGCUCAUGCCUAUAGACUAUAGCUCUUCCUCCUCCUCCUACUCUUUGAGCUUCCUUGGACUGCUUGAAUUCUCCAAUCUCUAUUUCCAUCUUCUAAAUAUAAAAACAAAAAUGUAUAGCAGGUUCGGGUGGGUUGGAAUUCAAAUCCCAUGAUAGAUCAGAUCAUUCUUAUUCUGAAAAAAAAGAAGAAACAAAUCAGAGUUUUAGGGUUUGUCAUAUGUUGGCUUGAGUUUUAUUUAGAACUAACAUCAAUGAAUUUCUUUUUCUCAUUCAACGUGUUGGUUUAUAUUAAAAAAUACAGAGAAAAGACACACACACACACACAAAAAAAAAAAAAAAAGAGGAGAAGUUCAGAUAUUGGUAGGAGGUUGCCUUGGGGUGUUUGCGUGUGCGGUGUUGGUGUUUGAGGGUAUUUUUUGAAACAAAUGUGGUCAAGUUAAAAAAAGUUUAAAUUUAUAUUUUAAUGGAGUGCAGAUAGAAAUUGGGUGGUAUUCACUUUAUGUUAGAUUUUAUUAAAGAAAUAAUUUUUUUUUUUUUUUUUAUGAAACGCAGGAGAAUAAGAUUGUUCUAUGCAUGCUUAGAAAAAAGGUCAACGGAUCCGAGAAGAAAAGGAAACAUGGAGAUCUAGAAGAGGAGGAGAUGCUUGGAGACAAUAAUAUGGAUAUCUCCAAUGGAGAUAGUAACUACGGAGACUUGGAUAGAAAGCAAGUAGUGCCGCUUGAGACACAAGAAAAGCAGCAAUGCUUCUUACCAAACAACGCGGGAUAUCUUAUACCACAAGUACAACGGCCAGAAGUUUAUGAUCCUUUGCAAAAGUUCCACCCUCAAUCCAUUGUUUACAAUGUUGUCCAUCCGCAAACACCAUUACAACUUGAACAAGUUGAUUUUCAUGGCAAGCGAAAUUGGGGACUGCAACACCUACAUCAAGGGGAAGAAACUUGGAAGCAUAAACUCUUAAAAACAUUCAUCAGUAAAAAUAUACAAGGACGUGCAUCUGGUUCUGAACAAAAAGCCCUACAAAGAGAAGAAAGUAGGGAGUAUCAAAGCUUCAUGUCAUGUGUUGACAAUGUACAAGCAUUAGGAGCUGAUCCUGAGCAGAGUGCCCUGCCGAAGGAAGUAAAUUGGAGGAAACAAUGCUCCAUGCCGUGCCUCGAUAGUGCCUUGCAUCAAGCGGGAGAAAAUCAUCAGGUGCAGCAAUCCUCACAAGAUAAUGUUGCAAAUGGAAGCUUGAUAAACAACAACAUACCUCACUGUACAAAACCAGUGCCACCAUAUGGUUUGACAAUUGAUCAAGUUGAUCAUGCAGGAAGCGGCAAUGUGUAUGGAGGAUUCGGUGCAGCUAAUAAUGAUGAUUUCGCAUAUACUCCGUGGAUCAAGUCUUUUGCAAACGAACUCCUGAGGACUAAUUGUUCCUCGAAGUUCAAUUGAUUGAUCCUAUAUUAUUCUAAUUUAAAAGUUGUAGGGAUUUUCUUUUAUUAACUUUUAUUUUCCAGACGUGUCGCGCACUGAGGUUUGUUGUUGUUCUCUCUUUCACCUCCCCUUGUCCACUAGGGUAUUUCCAAUUACAUGUAUGUACAUGCUCCUUUAUUGCACUUGGUUGCUCCUUAAUAAUUCGAUUUACUUUCAUAUUUAUGGUUCCCAUGUAUCAUUCAAAAGGAUACAUAACUUGUUUUGUUUGUUGAUGAUUUCUCUUCGGGUAAUGCUAGGGAGAUUAAAUUUGCAAAUUAGAUGAUGUGUCACUAAUAAAAAUAAGCACGUUUAUCAACGUUUAAGUAAUAGACCAAUCAUCAACUUUCAUGUCUCUUAGUUUCCAAAAUUUUAUCUACAAAUUUAGUCAUCCCCUUUUAUGGGUGAGCAUGAUGAUCACCGUGCAGUGCCAAGCAAAUUUAAUACUGAAAAGCUAUUCAAGAUGACUAACUCUUCAUCAACUUCGUUUUUUAACGUUCAUCGGAUUUUGAAGUCAGUCCCCCGGGAGCGGGUCCUGUAUGUGAUUAAUUGUACAGUUUGUACUCCAUUGCCAAUUACGUAACUUGGGAAAUCUCAGCUUUGACUUGUUUGCUAAAAAAACUAGCUGGUACUUGCUAGCAUUCACUCAUGAACUAGAGAUCAUGUAGUUUAUAUUUCCCUUUGUCCAACAUUGCUUGUAAAAAUCGUAUAUAAAAAAAUAUGGCUUGUAUAAUAAAUAUCGAUUCCAUAAAUUAAAACUAGAAACUAGCUUUAGUGGAUUAAUCAUAUUUAAUGCAUCUAUAUUGCAGGGAACGAAUUCAACAAAAGCAUGGAACUAUAUUCUCGUGUUCGUGCAACCUGAAUUAAUCAUAUUUCAUGUUAUAUAUUGACACUGUACAUGCAUUAGCAGCUAGUCCUAAGCGGAAUGCCCAGCAGUAGGGGGAAGAAAAUUGGGGGCAGCAAUUAUCCUCAUCAUGCGGCAACAAUUAAUGUAAGACAAUUAGCAACUCAAUAUAGUGAUGAAGUGACUGUCUUGCAGCAAGGGGGAGAAAAUCAUCACGUGCAAUGUCUUGUGUCACAAGUUAAUGUUGCAAAUGGAAGCAUGCCUCGUUGUCCAACGUCCGUCUUGCAGGAAGCCGUGAUGUGUAUGGAGGACUUGGUUCAGCUAAUGAUGGUUUCGUAUAUUCCUGUGGGUGGACCAAUCUUUUGCAUACGACCUCUUGAGGAUUAAUUGUGUGUCCCAAAGUCAUAGAAACUAAUGAUCCAGAUGAAGUCAUAAUCAAUUUAUGGACAUAAAGUUAGAUUAUCAAAAGUUAAAAUGUAAUCAAUCUUCAGAUUUCCAUGAGACAUGACAACAUAAUAUCUUUUGUGUUUAAUUUUUUUCUAUAUACUUGUUCAUAGAAGAAGUUCCACGAGUAGUAAUACAAUAGUUUUAUUCAAAAAAAAAAAAAAUUAAUCUGACCAAUUCUAAUAGAGGUGGACCCUACUAUUGUAUGUACGAUCCACUUAUAAUAGAGAGUGUAAGUUUUGUGUCUAAAUAACAUACUUUUUUUUCUUUUCCAAAAUGGACUAUCACCCAUGUAAGAUCCAACUAUUUAUUCUUGCACGCAAACAACUCCCAGAUAAUACGACGCUGUAGAUUUGUCAUCAAACGGUAGAUUUGAUGAAUUUCAACUUUGAGUUUGAGCCAUUGAACUAAGACGAUUUUACUCCAAAAGAAUUUAACAACUUGGUGCCUUCACGCAGUGCUGACACUUCCCAAGAAAGAAGGACGUCUUAAUCUCAAACAUUGUUGGAGUGCUGGAACCAACGAAGACAAAAAUGGAAUGUCAUGAUGGUGAGUUGAAGACUUGGAGUCUUUGAUUUGAGUGGAAAAUUCAUAGAAACUAAUUGUCACUAAUGAAGGCCAACGUGAUUGUGAGUCAUAGCAAAAUAACUCAGAUGUAAUUUGGAUGUUAAAGUGGCAAAAUCUCGAGCCUAUCAUGCUCCACAACGUAUUUUAAUUUACUAACAUGACGAGGCAUGAUAUAGGUUUGCAAUACAUCAUUGUGGUGCUUGAAUUUGCUAUUAUAGCAUAAAUUAAUCUGAAUUCUCUUCCGUAAUUAUACAUAAUAUUAAAUAUUAAUGUAAUUAAUUUUGGAUUCCUACCAUGAGGGUUUUUCUCGAACUCUACACAUAUUGUAACCUUUGUACAUGAUUAAUUCAAAGAAAAUUAGUAUCUGGUCUUUAGUUACUAAUUUUUUUUAUUGAAACCUUAUUAAUUUUCAGAUUUUGAUUAAGGUCCCUAGUAUUAAUGUAAUAAUGAAUUUACAUGUCAGUUACAUAAUUUUUAAAAUAAAAAUUAAUAAUUGAUUUAGGAUUUUAAUACUCACACCUUUAUUAAACUCCUAACUAAUUUUCAAUUCAAAACAUUUCCAAAAAAAAAAAAUAUUAGAAUAAGUUUGUACCCCCUUAAUUUUUUAUAAAAAGGUUUCCAAUUUUUUACUCUUAUAUGUACCCCAUUCAUGUAAUUUUUCAAUUUCUUAUCUUAAAAUGUACCCAUGUUUAAUACACACACACACAAUAUAUUGGAGAGUAUAAUUUAUAUUUUAAUCAUUUUAAUCCACAAAUUAUGGGUUUUUUUAUUUUAAAUCUCAUUAAUACAAGAACUAUAAAUUUCAAUUUUUAAUUUAAAAAAUAUAGUAACCUACAUAGAAAUACAUUUUCACAUUAAUUUCAUCGACUUCGAUCAAAAAUUGAAAACCAACAAGUUUUCAGUCAAAGAAUAUUGAUAGUUAGGGACCGCAUCCAAAGUGUCCCUUAAUUCAAUGAGUCGUAUUUUUACAUGAUAUAUCAUGGUACUUUAAAAAACGACCAACGGUGUCUCUGUCAAGUGCUGAAUCUGAAUACCGGUCACUUGCUCAUGCGCAUGCAGAGACUACAUAGAUUUGUUUCUUCUAAGAGAGCUCGGGAUUCAGCUAUCCUUUCCUGUUUUAUUAUUUCAUUGUGAUAAUUUCAGUGCUACUUAUCUUGUUGCUAAUCAUGUUCAGCACGCUUGCACAGUCGCACUCACCACGUUAAACUUAAUUAUCACUUUGUCUGUAAAAAAGGUGGCCCUCGUAGUCAUAGGGUUUGUUAUAUUUCUCCUGCUAAAUUGCUGAUCUUCUUACUAAAGCUCUCCAUUAGUCUCGUCACGAUCUUUUUUUCUCCAAACUCGUUCGAUUAGGAAUGUCUAGUUUGCGGGGGUAGGGGUGGGGAUGGGUGGGUGUUAGAAUAGAUAAAUUAUUCCGGAUUCUCCUAUGUAAUUAAUGGAAUGUAUAUUUAAUUGUAAUUAGUUUAGGAUUUCAACUGCGUAUGAGUUUUCCUCAAACCCUAUAUAUAUUGUAACCUUUGUACAUGAGUAAUUUAAGGAGUCACAUUUCUACAUAACUGCAUGUGAGCUUCUUAUAGUUGAAGUGUACCUAACUUCCAAUGACCAUUCUCUCUACUUUUUCAAAAUCAAUAUGGACCACCGAAAAUGCAUGUCCCAAACUAUUCCAUCUAAUUGUCAUCACUUUCAAUUAGCCAGUUAUAACUUGACCCCCACGCAUCUCCCUCAGCACUCAUAUAUAUACUUUAAACCCCUCUUCAAAAUUACUUCAUCAACUAGCUAGCUAACAAAUUUGUUAUGCAAAUGGCUCGUUCAUAUAAGCCAUUCUUUCUUAUCCUCCUCUUUGGUUUUGCCUUCUGCAUGCCCACUUUUGGAGCCGGAAGGCUGCUGAGGGUUGAAAACAAUGGAAAGGGUGGCGAGCUUUCUUCGGAGGACAGCUUGAUGGCGGGUACGGAAACUGAUCCGGACUACAGGUCACUACCUUCUUUGGGUGAGCAUGAAGGUCAUCAUGCAGUGCCAAGCAAUGUUAGCGUUGGAAAGCAGUUCAUCACUACUCUUCAUGAUCAGCUUCGUUCUGUCAAAGCGCAAUCAGUACCCAGCCCUGGAGCCGGUCACAUUAACUUAUAAUUACGUGCUACUAAGGUUGUGAUGUUAGAGAAGAAUCAUUUGGAUAAGAUACAUCACAAGCCGUCUAAAACCUCAAUAGGUUUGUUCUAUAUAUGUAGCUAGCUAUAGCUCAGCUGGUUAAAAAUAAUCACUCUUGUAGUCGUGAUCUUAUGUGUAACUCCCUCUUCACUAAGUAUCAUUUGUAUUAAAUAAGUACAUGAUACUUGUUUGUGUAAACGUGAAUUUCUUGUAACAAAGACACAAGAACACAUGUAAAAAAUAAAGAAUUUGUAUUAAUGUAGGGUCUAGGGUUAAAAUCUCUAAUUAAAAUUUUAAUCCUCUUAUUUGAUGUCCACAAAGUGUGCAUGUGUGUGUGUGUGUUGUCAUUUAUCCAAAGGUCGUGAUGACUUGAUCUUGGAUAAACAGAUGCCGCAAGGGUUUGACUUGUGGCAAUGGAAGAAUCGGCAUUCGUAGUGGUGCUUGAUGAUUCUUCACGAGUUUGACGAAGAACACAGAGAGUUUUCUGAGUCUUCUUUAAUGUUUGAGUGUUUGUGAAUUUGGGGGCCUGAGAACUUCAGCAUCUGGGUGUGAGAAUAAUUUUCUAGCAUUUUUUUUUUAGCAUUAUAUUUAUAGACUAUCCAAGUCUUGCCUACGGAUGAUUUGGCCUUGAUUGUGGGCUUGAUUUAUUAACGAAAGAAUCAAGACUUGUUUUAUGGCUCAGUUCGUGAUUUGACAUUUGGAAUAAUUCCUUAAUUACUUUUAGCCAAAUGUCGACACGUGUCACUCUUGAUGACUCGUCCAGUUUUCAUGAGUUACAUGCCAUAUGUAUGAUUUAUGAGACACAUAGUGUAUGCCACCUAUGUCCUGAUAUGUCAAACUUUAAUGUGUAUGUACAUUUACUUUUCACCAAAACUUUGAUAUCUACAGUUGGAUUAUUCACAUUUGAUGUAGAAAUUAUAUAACAAGAUAUUUGUAACCCAAGAAAGUAAUUAAGAACAAGGUUGUAGGUUGAACUCUCUAUUCCAACACUAUCUUGUAUAAAAAAAAAUGUUGCAAUAGUAUAGUUAUCUCUCUUUCGGUUUAUGGAUUGUCACUGAAGGUUCAUUUUAUUUGUCUUUUUGCUGCUUUGGUCACACUGGUUAUUGUGUUGCCUUAAAAUAUAAACCUUUGCACAGAUUCCCCCAUCUCCUGUUAUCUCUCUUAUGGAUCAUUCUUAUCUUUCAUUUUAUUUGUCUUUUUGUUACUUUGGUCACACUGGUACAAUGUAACUAGAGGUUAUGGUAAAUGGGAUCUGUUGGGGAAAAACUUAAGAGUACACAACUCUAACAGAAGUGUUGGAGAGACAACACAAGUAAAUAAAUUACUUGUAUUACACACACAAAAUAUUACAACACUCACAAGGACACAACUUUAGAAGCUAUGACACUCACUCACUUUCCAGAGACACACUCUUGAUCACUCACACUCCUACAAGACUAUUCUUGCUUCUCACUCUCACUUGGUUGGUUGGUUGAUUGGUUGCUUGAUUGAUACAAAUGGUGUGGAUGCCUUCUCCUUUUAUAGGCAUGGAUGGAACCUUGGAGAAGCAUGUAAUCAUCAUGCUAGAGAUAUCUAGAUAAUUCUACUAACUACUAAUCUUGCAUGUUGGUGGAAACAUCACCAUUCUUCUAGACUCUUCCACCAACUUGAACUUUGCUAGAAUUCUCUAGCAUGUGUAUGGAUCUUUCUUUGUCCAUGGGCUGGAUCCAUCUUGGGCCAAGGCAAGAUCACACUUCAACACAAACAUCAAUUGGGCUGGUGUUGAUCUUCAGGAUCUUGUUAAUAAUAUAAUGUGUGUAGAGAAUGACUUACAUGUGAAAAUUAAUUAUUGGACCAAUUCCAUGCUUGUGAUGUACCAUUUUCAUGUAAGUCUUUCUCCGUAUUACUGGUUUCAAAAUUCAGAAACAUGCAUGCAAUUAAAUAUGCAAAUGUAAUGCAUGUACAUAAGCAAAUAAUGUUUUGGAAUACAUGACAAUUCUUUUGGUAAAAAGGAAAAUGCAAUUCGAUAUCACGAACUCAUAUCAUGGUCCAUGGAUGGCACCUGAUUGAUUCAAGUUUAGGGCUGAUUAACUUUUGAACCCUUAUUUUGGGCAAAAAACUUUUGAACUCUUCAGUCCAAAUAAUAACUCGAGGUAAGAUUUUGAAACUAGGCUUCUCGAUAUUUUAAUGUUAAAUUACAAAAACAAUUGAGAAAUAUGCACAAGCAUUUCACUCUCUUUAGAUUUGAGAUGAUUUUCAAAAGAGUGAUUUUGUAUACACCCAAAAAUUUUCUCUCGACAUCCAAUUCCGUUGACCACCCGUUAUUUAAAUUUCAAAGUUGUACACUACCUACAGUUAGGAAUAUCCCAAAAAUAACCUAAUUUUAAAGGAUAUUUUUUACCACCCAUUAUUUAAAUUUCAACUUUCAAAGUUGUACACUAAUCAGUUAAAACUUGUACACCUUUUUUACAAAGUGCACACCCCAUGUUGGUCUUGACAGUUGAUUUUACUUUAAAUUUUCAAUCUAACGGUUACAAAACGAGAGAGGUGUGUGUAAGGUGAGAAAGAGUGUGGUACAAGCAUAUGAGGUGAGAAAAAGUGUUAAAAGCACUACUGAUCAGUACACAACAUCCAUUAAAUAACAACUAAUUGUAUGGGGAGUAAAAGGUUUAAUUAAACUUGAAAUGUUGUCACCUAGGAAUUUGGUUAAGUCUUCUUUGGAGGUUGUAAGAGUCCCAUAGAAAUUAAGAAGAGGUCUAUUAAAUAUUGUAAGUCUUUUUAAUAGUGUAUUAGAAUGCCUAGAAUGGCAGACUUAUCUAAUUAAGAAACAUAUAAUUAAGAAGUGGUGUAUUAAAUAUUGUAAGCCUUUUUAAUAGUGUAUUAGAAUGCCUAGAAUGGCAGACUUAUUAAUUAAGAAACAUACAUUUGUCUUGUGCAAUUGAAGGGAGUGAUUUCUUCUUUUCAAAACAAGCAUGUGAUUUGGUUGUGUGAGUAAAUGCACGAAAAGGCUCUGUUAUCCCUAGUUGAGCGAAUCCCAGAUCACCUAUCCUUCGUCCCCAAGACUCCUCGGUCCACCCUACAUCAACUACCAAAAUAAAAAGGAAAACUAGUGAAAGAAUGGAGGUUACAACCACCAUUGUGGCCGGCUACACACCAACAACUCCAGAUUCCUGCCAAAACAACUUGCAGUCACCUCGCCUCUCUCCCCUCUACAAUCUCAUAUCAACAAUCGGCCUUGCAAGCAGUCAUAUAAGGCGAAUUGAACUCCCUAAGUUUAUCCAAUAUUGUCGGUUCAUUCACUCAUUGACUCAUUCUCUCCAUGAUCUACAGGACCCACAUCUUAUCUAAGCUCAACACUUGCCCAUAUCGAAAGUGCCAUCAAGUUUGGGUUAACGCCGGCCGGAGCUGGCAGAUGCAGAUAGAGGAGGUGCCAAUUGUUGGACACCACGACUCCUCUCCUUAUGUUAAUUGAGAUUUUAAGAUAUUUUAAUUGAUUUAUAAAUUCAUAGAUUUUAGUGGAAUUUUAUUUGAUUUUUAGAAAUUCUAUGCAAAAUAAUCCGCGUACAUAUUUUUCACAUAUUAUACCUGUUUUGUAUUUUACUAACUAUGGUGCAUCUUGGAUUUCUUUGUUAGAGAUUCAGGGCAAUGUGUCUACUGCCAUGGAUAUAUGCUUCUCCUUAAUUAGGUUUCAUAUACCCAAUAUCAGUAGACUAUAUAUAAUUAAGCAAAUACUCUCCACCAUAUGUUUGAUAUGGUGAAUGCAUGUAUGUUGAAGAUAUGUUGUUCAAAGUUAAAAGCCAAAAAUCUCCCCAGUAUAUUAGUCCUCCAAAUGUUAAAUAAGUCCAGAUAAAUUCAUGUUUUUCAGCAAAACAAAGUCAAAAGGACACAUUUAAAAAGGGAAUCCAUAUAGAACCUAGAUAUCAUUUCUCCAGGAAUUCAAUUUGACAAGUCGUCGAACCCUUUGAAAACAUUGAAAUUUCCUGACGUAGUUUCAGCUUGUCUUCUACGCGGAAGUCGCACGUAUAAAUCGUGACCUUAUUCAGGACUUCGCCAUGCUUCAACAAGUACUUUGUCACUUCUGUCUCAUCAGGCCGGCCCUGGAUUCCUCGAAGGCAAAUAGUCUUGAUGUGCGACAACAAACAAAUAGGCACAAACUCAGGUGGAACCCAUUCACAUACCAAGAGAUCACGAUAAUUUUCCAACGUACAUUCCUUGUUCUGAAGAUAGUUCAAAAAUAAAAGAGUGAAAUUAAGGUCUCUGAAAUCUACUCCCCUAUUUACCAUAUGCAUUUAGAUUUUAGAGUGAAAAGUAGAUCCACAAAUACUUACAUUAUAAACAUCAAGAUGUUCCAGAUGGGGCGAUAUCUUGAGCAAAUCUAUGAGUGAUUUCCAAUUGCAGCAAGUAAAAAGAAGUAGCUCCAAAUGGUUCAAACGAUUCAGUUCAGGCAGAUGAAAACCAUCUUCAGUGUGACAUUCAGGAUCCUCCAGAAUCAUAAAGUAUUAAAUGUCACUCCAAGAUUCAUGAAAACUUAAAUACUUCCUCACCAGCGCAUAUAUAUUAUAUAUAACUAAUUCCACCGAUAAAUUUCAGCAUCUUAAAAAGACUAGGUAUCAAUAAUCAUUUUCGUCAAAUUUUUAUUUUUCAAUAUAGAUAGGGAGAAAUAUGUGGAAGAUCUAUGAGGAAUGAAGAAUCGUGUUGGAAGGAUUACAGAAGGAAUGUAAAAGAAAUUUAUACAUGAUAACACAUAAAUGAAAACUAAAAGGCUUAAAUGUCAAAAUGGUCUAUGUGUUAUAUAGUCAUAUCACUAAUUUAGUCAUCGUAUUUUCGAUUUGGCUAAUUUAGUCAUCGUGUUUGUCUAUGUUAACUAAUUAAGGACAUUUUAUUCAAUCUCUGUUAAAAAAUUCAUAAGGAAAAUUAUAAGAGAUAUAAUUACCAUUUCUCUUUAUAGAAAAAUGCAAAAUAACACAUGUAAGAGAUAAAACUUCUAAUCUGAAAAAUGAUUAAGGUUGUGACAUAAAAAAGAGAGGGGUUAACGUUAGGGAGGAGGUCAGAGAGUUGGGAGGAGAAUUUUUUUUCUUUUAAUUUUUUAUUUUGUUUCACUUUUAAAUAUUUUAAAUCAAAUAAAUAAUUUUAUAAAUAAGUUUAUAAUAAUUUUUAAUCUUUUUUUACAAAAAUUAGAUGGAAAUGUCCUUAAUUGCCUUAUGAAAAUAAACACAAUGACCAAAUUGGUCAAAUUGAGAACACAAGGACUAAAUUGACCCAAUGACUAAAACACAUGGACCAUUCUAACAUUUAAGCCAAACUAAAAUCAAAUCUGCAAACAUUUUUUUUUAGUACAACGAUAUAUUUUACACUAAGAGGAGGGGGAAGUUCGGCUAAGCCACACAAUAAGUAACCUAAUUUGGUAUUAAAUUCGUCAUCACGAUAUUCGAACCUAGGACCUCUCACUCACAAGUAAAGAGGAAUAUCACUAGACCAUAGUAUUGAGUGGCAACUGCGAACACUUUUAAGUAGUUUUUAGUUUCACGGUUUUGUUUUCGGUUAUUCUCCUUCAUCUCUCCCUCUUCCGUCUCACUGCCUCCCUUCAUCUAUCUUCAUUCCUCAUUUCUCUAAUAUAUUUUCUCCACCGUAGAAAAUGAAAACUCAAGCACAAAAACAAAAUGAUUAUCAAACGAGUGACAAGGAAACGAGUUUAAGUUACAGAAAACUUACCCCGAAAAGUGGAGCUGAAAGUGACAGAUAUUUCACAUUGAGAAGUCCUGCAAAAAGCCUUUCCAGACGAUCAACACAACCAAGUUCAUAGUCAAUGUACCCAGACGUGUGCACAUAUUCGAGAUCAAUCUUGGCUUCGCUGAGUGAAUUUGCAUUCAAAAUAUAGUUUGCUACAAAAUCCGCCUCGAGAUCAAACUUUUCAAGGUUUGGAGCAUUAACAUUGAAAAAGAUAUUUGACUCAGAUCCUUCCCAAAAGUCGUCUUCCGCCAAGAAUAUUUUCAGUCUGUUUAGUUCAGGUGUUGAGAUAUUAAAAUUCAAAACUUUACUAGCUACAAUAUCUCCUCCUAUGAUCAAUUCUUCAAGUGCAGGGCAAGAAGAAAAGAGCUUCUCCAUUGAGUCAGCAUCAGGAUCAUAGACUUUAGCAUGGAAGAACUUAAGACUUGGGAAACAAUCUGAGGUAGGAGUGAAGGUAAUAUUUGAUUCCAGCAAAAGCUUCAAAACGACCAGCGUUUUGCACGUGAAAAGAUUUCUAGCCAACUCAAAAGGGCGGCCAAAAGAAUACAGAACAAGUUCGAGUUCAACAACAUUAAGCCUAAUGGCAGUCCUUAUCCAAGCAUCAAUAAGAGGAUAAUUCUUCACCCCAGAGCAACAAAGACGGAGUCUGUGAAUUUUGGACGUGCCACGAAUGGAGAGUGCACGAUCCACAAACUCAGCAAAAGCACUAGAGAGACGGAAUUCAUGAUUGUUGAACGGGCUAUGAAUGCAGAGUGCACGAUCGACAAACUCAGAAAAACCAACUGGGUUAAAUUCUCUUUGAUAAUGCUUAUCACAAAGGUCUAGAGUGGGAACAUGAGCCCACACAUUCCUCCAUCUCGGUGAUAUAAUACUGGUCCUUACAGCUUCUUUAGUUGACAGGGUGGAAAGAAUGUUGCAGAUAAUUUCAUCUGGUAAUGCACUGAUUCUAUCUUUGUUGCAUGCAUUGGCAUACUUUAACUUUGAGUUCGAACCCAUUUAUAGAAAGAUACGCUUCCUGAAAAAACAGAACAUGUUUCUACACUUAAAACGCAGGAAAGCUUUCCCAUUCCUUCAGGUAAAAUACCUUUAGGAAUCUUUUUCCUCUUCGAAAACCCAACUGAUUGUGGUCAAUUACAAGUGAAAAAAAAAAAUCAUCUUCAUUGCGUUUGGGCUUCUAAUGAACAAAAGAUACUAUAAGUAUACGAUUUGGCACUUUGUUUUUCUUUAAGUUAUGUUUCGGUGAGAGAAUGUGGAAACAUCUUCUUUACAAAAUAAGGGUAAGACUGCGUACAAUAAAUAUUUUUCCUAUGACGCUCACAAAGCGAGGAGCCUUGUUGACUUGGGAUCGCCCUUAUGUUUGGGUGAGAGACCUUGAAGGCAAAUUCAUCUUCAAUGCAUGUUUAGGUAAAAUGAAGAUGAACUGGAUCACAAAAGGUUAGAUGAGAGGAAUAAAAAAAAUGCACCACAUGAAUGUUACAAAGAUAUAUGUAAGAGGGAUUAUUAAAAGUAUGGUAGAGGUUAUUUCUAAUCCCUAGAAAAUGCACCAAAUGACUACUUGAAUGAAUCAUUUGCAAAAUCCUCUCGUAUGCGUAUUAUAAUGCUCAUGUAAUGUAUUUCUAAUCCCUCCUACCAAACUUUAUAUGAUCUAUUUUAUUAUACACCUAAAUCCCUUGCAAUAUGAAAUUUCUUCCCCCAAACAUACCCUUAGUUUCUGCAGGCAUCUGAACAGAGAAUGAUGUAAGAUAUGAUUAAAUUUGUAGAACAUGGAGAUUGUAUAGAGAAAACAUAAAUUUAAACAAAUAAAGGUUCAAAGACAAAUCUAAUGGGAGAGGAAAGGGUUAUUCUCUUGUGGGUUCCAACUUUGAGCUAUUGACGAUUUUAGCCCUACAUUUUGUAUCAAUAUUUUAACCUACAUUGAAUCACAGUAGAAACUGAUUUUCGUCAUUUGGGAAAAGUUAGCCCGAGUUGGUUUGCAUGUUGUAGACUGCUUUUAGUUCCCCAACAAAGAUAUUCAAAAACGAAAAAUGUAUGACAUUGCUCUUGAGCGAACAUAAAGUAAAAUAAAGAAAAGAUAAAAAUAGAUCUGGAAUAUAAACACACUUUAGGCCAUUCCACUUACGUUCCUCAUUAGAGAAUAUAUAAUCGAAUAAAGAAUUAUAUGAUAAAUUGAUAUUUAAAUAGGGGAAAAUACAUGAUAUGGUUACAGAUCUAAUUUUAUAACAAAAACAUCUAUAAUUUAUUUCCAAAAGAAAUGUUGAAAACUAAAUUAGCUAGACUACGUGGGAUUCAAUUUGAAAUUGAAAUUUGUCAUUUGGGGCAAGAUAACAAUCCACCUGCUUGGGCUGGUUUGUAUAUUCAAUAAGGAUCAAUACAUUAAAUCACUCUAGAGAGAGCAUAAACUAAAACAAACUUCAAGACAAAGAUAGAUCUAGAACAUAACAAACUUCAAGUCCUAUUUUACUUCGAUUCCUCAUCAGAGAGUACAUAAUAUAUAAAGAAUCAUAGGAUAAUAGAGAAGAUAUUAGAAGGGAAAAAUACCUGAUAUCGCUCUAGAUCUAGAUUUGUUGUGCCCGUCUCUAUAUGGUUUGCUGAGAACAGCUAGAAGACACAGAAAGAUGAAAAAUUGGAGAACUUUUGGAUUUUCUCCUCGUAAUGUUGAUUAGUGACACACCCUAGCCGGAAUAUCUACAUGGAUACUGAAAUCAAGGUAGGUUGGCCGAUACUUGAAUUGAGACGAAGCCAUAAGAUGAAGGUGAUGGGUAAAAGUACUAAAAUUAAAAUUGAAAACAAGAGUGCGUUAGGGGAUGAAUCCUUAUUAAAAUGUGUGUCAGAGCAUAGAUAACAGUGUAUCAAAAAGAAUAUUCCAAUCUUGAAAAGGCCUGAAAAGGAGGGAUAUUUAUAGAAAAUAACGGAAAUUAAUUUUCUAUAUUAUCGGGAUUGAAUUUAGUGAGUGUCAUAAAUCAUUGUCUCCACCACAGUACAACUUCUAAAUCAUGGAAAAUAGAAAACGUGAGUGAGCAAAAAUAAGAGUUUUCUAUAACCAUUUGUUUUUCCGAACAUAGUAACCCUUCACUGUAAAAUCACGUAUAGUCUCUAAAAGCAUACUAUGUAGUAAGUACGAAACCCAAGGUACCAGAAUAAAACAACAAUAAUCUCAAUGAUACAGGUACAUCGCAAUAUAAUAUAAAAUAAUAUGAUAUGCUCAUAAAAAUAAACGCAAGCACACGAGUUCAUGCAUAAAGUAUUUACAUGAAUAGGCUUGGUGUAAAAGUUUACAUUAUAGUACAACAUACACAUGAAGCUGGCGCUUAGCGCGUCACGUGCGAGUCCUAGUUGCCUAAUGUAAAACUAAUACAGGCUAGCACCUACAAUAAAUCAAUUGUGAACGUAACAAUGCAUGUAAACAUACACAUGAAGUUGGUCUUGGCCCAAGACAGUAUUAUAGUUAUUGUGUACUAAAGAUACCGUGCGAACAUACAUGAUGAGGAUAUAAAGUAUGUAUAUUAUCAUAUCAUAUUUGGAUCCAUAACAUUCAUAAAUCACAAUAAUAAAAAUGUAUAAAACUUUUUGUAUUUUUCUAAGUAAAAGUUAUAGCAUGAUAUGCGAGUAUUCAUAAAAUAGUUAUGGAAAAUAUAAAAAAUAGUAUAGUUGGAAACAAAAGCCAACUCAAUACGUGGUGUGUGGCAACCCGUCCCUAAUUUCACGGUUUUAUAAAUUUUAAAAGAGUGAUUUUACGAAAAUGCUCUUAGAGGCAAGGAUGUUUGACUUUCAUUGGCCAUCUUUCGUGACGUGUACAAGCUACUCUUUUUGCGAAUUCUCAAAGUACUCAACGAUACGAACACGUGAACGCAAACAGAACACAAUUUGGAGUUAUAAACAAACGAAGAUGGGGGCAAAAUAGUCAUUUUGCUAUGAAUCUGGAAGGCUCUAGAUUUGUGGGAGCCUAGUCUUGGUGGAAGGAAGCCACGUGAGUGGCUGGGGAGAAAAGAAAAGAAAAGAAAAGAGAGAGGAGGAAGAAAAUGGGGAUGUUUUGCCUAAUUAGAAACAAAAGAAUGGAGAUCAUAAGGGAAAAAGGAAGGGGUUGGUCGAAUCGGGAUAGGGGAAAUGAAGGAGGUUGACCGAUGGAGAAAAAAGAAAGGAGAGGAAAGGAGAGGGGAGAGAAGCACGGGAUCAUGGAUCCUUUACCGAUUAUUUACGACCCGACCCGUGGAACUGUGAAACCCGAUGGAUUCCGGCGAUUGAAGCCUAGCCACCACUUAGGAAUCACUCCACGACUUUCCCUUUACCCAUUCCACCACAAAAUUUAUGAAAUUUGGCCAUGAAAUUGUGAAACCCGCAAGGUGGGUGCAAUGGGGUUCAUGACGACGAUCCACCAAUCUUAAAGCUAACUCCAUCAACCACCACCACCAAUAGACUUUCCUCAACCACAUGAACAAAGCACAAGUAAUAGAUGAUGCAUCGGAGCUAGUAUGAAGGUUGAAUCGAGGACACCCAAAUUCUAGGUUUCAGGCAGAUUCGAGGCAAUUCUGAGCACUUCCCGGUCGGAUUGGACUUCGGCCCAUGUAUGAAAAUUACUCCCCUUACAGUGGUAAUUUUUAAAGUAGGUGAAAUUUUCCUACGAGUCGGGGCGGCCGACCGCUAUGUGCUACAGCACGUAAGUAGAGACACCACUUGACCUCCCUAGGCUAAAAUGGGUGCCCCGAUUUCAUAUUAGACAUAAAUUCCGUUGUUUAGUUAUAUUUCUGUUAAGGGCCACCACUUGGUUAUUAUAUGAUUCGAUGAUUCGACCAUUGGAUCAUUACCAAACUUUAGUAUGUGUUUGUACCAUACUUGACCAAUCCCGAAACUACUGAGCACCGGUCAACGUUAUACCGUCAAGGACCCAGAAGAGUUUCCCUCCAAUCAGGAGACCAAUCACAGCGCGACACGUGUCGACAUCAGAAGCCAAUCAUAACGCGACACGUGUCAACAUCAGAAGCCAAUCACAACACGACACGUGUCAAUGUCAGAAUGAAACUAGAAACUCUCUUCUAUAAAUAGAGAUCAUUCUCUCACAAUAUUUCCUAAUGUCAUUUGUACUAAAUCAUUCACUAGUACUCACUAAAGGAGAGUUUGAACCUAUGUACUUGUGUAAACCCUUCACAAUUAAUGAGAACUCUUCUACUCCGUGGACGUAGCUAAUCUGGGUGAACCACGUACAUCUUGUGUUUGCUUCCCUGUCCCUAUCCAUUUACUUACUUAUCCACACUAGUGACCGAAGCAAUCUAGCGAAGGUCACAAACUUAACACUUUCUGUUGUACCAAAGUCCUCGCUGAUUUUAUGCAUCAACAUUUGGCGCCGUCUGUGGGAACGACACUUAUUCCCACUCUCUUUAGCUUUGCCAAGCUGGUUUCCACCAUUCGUAUACUCUCUUUUGACCAGGCAUCCCUCUCCAACAUGGGGAGUGAAGGAAGCCACAGCACACAGAAUGACACCAUUUUUGCACCUAGUGUGAAGCAACGAAAGAAGGAAGGAAAGAGGGUUGCUCUUCAAGCUAAAGUCGAUGAGGUAGAAGCUCAGAAUAACAAGAUAGCAAUGAAAAAUGAAGUCAUCCAAGAGCAGUAAGAGAAGCUCUUUAAGGCGCUCCAUGAAACUAGGCGUACUCAAACACGCGAACUCGUUACCCUUGUGGACAUCAACCAUCAUCUGGGUGCCCCCCAACACGGAGGGUCACCUCAUUUCGACAUGGGUAUCCCUGAUGAGGAGCAAGCUAAUCAUCAAAACAUUGAUCAAUAUGAGACUUCUCUCAACCCAGAUGUUUUGACCCAAAGCAUGAGAAGUGGAGGAAGACACCUCCUUGCAUAAGGGUUGGAAGGAUCAAAAGCCAUUUAUCGUGACUGCCGAGGCUUCCUAAAGUAACGUCGAGAGAAUCCUCUCCACAUAUGCUCAAAGAUCAAUGACCCAAGGGUUUCUGAAAGACUCGGUCCCAUCCUACGACCCAGGCCAGCUACCAAUCUAAGGAAUGAACGACAAGUCCCAGAGGAACAUGAAGGUACAGGGGACUCUGAGGUAUUCCUACAGACUCGCCCUAGAAGUCAGUACGGUGAGUCCAAGGAAAAACUACAGGCCCUUACUCAAACUUUCCUACUUUUAAGAGGCGAUGGAGACUUACGAAAGAAAAUUCCAGUGGUACAUGACUCCACUCAAGACCCCUUUGUCCUACAGCUCUUGAGGAAGUAAACAAGUUGAAAACCGAACGUCAGGCCGAGAUACCUGACUGGAACCAACCCAGGUGUGGCCCUCUCAUAAGGAGGAUCCUCGACACCCCCUUCAAGCGAAAACAAAACAAAAGCUUGGUUUACAAUUCUAUACCGGAAUGGAGGACCCAAUUGAACGCCUUAACCUCUUUGUGUUCACCAUGGCAUAUCGGAUGCACAUCGACGAAUGCGAUGUCUUCUCUUCCCUUCCACCCUCUCUGGCGGAGUUCUAAACUGGUAUUGCCGUCUUCCACCUGAAAAAGUAGACUCAUUUGAAGAACUGAAGAAACUGUUUGUCUCUCAACACAUCUUCCAGACCGAGCGCUUGCAUUCUGCAGAUGACUUGUACACUAUUCGCCAGAAGCCAGACGAGUCACUACGAGAGUAUGCCGGUCGCUUCAGCCAUGAGUAUUCUCGCUGCGCUAAGGCAGAUGACCAGACCGCCCUCAAGGCCUUCACGGCAGGCCUACGUGAUUGUUUCUUCAAGUACAUUAUCAAUGCCAAGACUUGGAAGACUUACUCUGAGGUGAUGACACAUGCUUACAACCAUGUUUCCGCCAAAGCAAGGACAAACCAAGGGAACCCCCAUAUGGUUAACCCCUAUCAACAAGUGGGAAGUGGAAGUCAAGUUCUACCAAGUGAGGAAAUCUUGGCCAUUCAGACACCCAUUGCAUCAUCUCCUACCUCAUUUAGCUACUCGCUAAGUCACCAAACAUAUCUGUCUCUUGGUAAGAUGAAGGAUUUUUACUCUCAGCAAGCCCAUUACAACAAGAGGGAUAAAAGUUCGUAUCAAGACAACCAGGGGUGAACAUACCGUCGACUAUUAUGACUAUGGGGCCAAGCCUCACUCUUUCAAAGUGGAGGACUAAGUAAUGAAGGAAAUGCUAUUAUAAGAAGGCAUACACAUUACAAAUGUUUUGACUCUCAACUGCUUCAGAUCUUUUGUCACACAAGCCAUUCGGCAAAUAUUUAAAGAAAAAUGAAUUCAGACAACUUCUUAUGAGUCUUUUACGUUUCUAGCACUAGAACACUUGGUCUACGCUGACCUACCCUUAUACUCCAACUCAGAGCUUCAACAUGCGUACUUUGACACAAAGUAUGUGAUACUAAGUGUUACAACCAACAUCGUUCACAUAUCAAAAGCAUGGAUCCCUUCAUGCAUAACAAAACAUUCAUAAGCAUCACUCAUAUCAAUCAACAUAAACAUCAUACAUUCCAACACAUUCAUACAUAAACAUCAUACAUUCCAACACAUUCAUACAUAAACAUCAUACAUUCCAACACAUCCAUACAUAAGCCAACUGUGUUUCGAAAGGGUUCAACAUACUUUGUCUCAUUCGACACUUGCUACAAUGUGCCUAGACAUCUUGCCCUUAUUCUCACCAACCAGGUAAUGAAAUGUACAACCCGUACUCUUCUUCACGCCACCAACCAAGUGAUGAAAUGUACAACCUGUACUUUAAUAUCAUUUGGCAACUUGCCACUCAUGCCACCAACCAGGUGAUGAAAUGUACAACCCGUACUCUAAUAUCAUUUGGAAACUUGCCAUUCAUGCCACCAACCAGGUGAUGAAAUGUACAACCCGUACUCUCCUUCAUGCCACCAACCAGGUGAUGAAAUGUACAACAUUUGGCAACUUGCCACUCAUGCCACCAACCAGGUGAAGAAGGAACUCAUCUUCAUGCCAUCACUAGGUGAUGAAAUGUACAACCCGUACUCUCCUUCAUGCCACCAACCAGGUGAUGAAAUGUACAACCCGUACUCUAAUAUCAUUUGGCAACUUACCAUUCAUGCCACCAACCAGGUGAAGAAGGAACUCAUCCUCGUGCCACCAACCAGGUGAUGAAAUGUGAUGAAAGGUGAUGAAGGAACUCACAUUCGUACCACCAACCAAGUGAUGAAAGCAACUCACCAUUCAUUCCACCUACCAGAAGACAAGUGGUACAACUUGUACAUGUGAACUUCUAGCAUUCACAAAUAAUCAAAAACACCCUCAAGCUUGACAACUCAACUAGGGGAGCAUUUAUGCCCAACAAGAGUUAUAGUCACCAACAAAGUCUUAUUGCAAGCCAACAACAACUUCAGUGCAUGGCAUACGAAGUUCAAGCUAUUCAGCCCUCUUGCAUCUGCUUCAGACAUUUCCCCUCUGUAAUAAUGCAAACACUACAACUUGUGGAAAGCUUCACACAUUCUUGAUCAAGACAGUGUGAAGCAAAACCAAUUCAUGGUGCCAACAAGAGCUUCAUCAAUGGAGGGCAACCACAAUUCUCAAAAGCUUCACACACUCUUGAUCAAGAUAGUGUGAAGCAAAACCAAUUUAUGGUACCAACAAGAGCUUCAUCAAAGGAGGGCAACCAUAAUUCUCAAAAGCUUCACACACUCUUGGUCAAGACAGUGUGAAGAUAAACCGAUUUAUGGUGUCAACAAAAGCUUCAUCAAAGGAGAUCAACCACAAUUCUCAAAAGCUUCGCACACUCUUGAUCAAGACAGUGUGAAGCAAAACCAAUUUAUGGUGCCAACAAGAGCUUCAUCAAAGGAGUUCAACCACAAUUCUCAAAAGCUUCACACACUCUUGAUCAAGACAGUGUGAAGCAAAACCAAUUUAUGGUGCCAACAAGAGUUUCAUCAAUGAAGGACAACCACAAUUAUCAAAAGCUUCACACAUUCUUGAUCAAGACAGUGUGAAGCAAAACCAAUUUAUGGUGCCAACAAAAGCUUCAUCAAAUGAGUUCAACCACAAUUCUUAAAAGCUUCACACACUCUUGAUCAAGACAGUGUGAAGCAAAACCAAUUUAUAGUGCCAACAAGAGCUUCAUCAAUGGAGAGCAACCACAAUUCUCAAAAGCUUCACACACUCCUGAUCAAGAUAGUGUGAAGCAAAAUCAAUUUAUGGUGCCAACAAAAGCUUCAUCAAUGGAGGGCAACUACAAUUCUCAAACCUUCGAAGCAAAUUCAAGACUGUUCGAAGCAAAUUCAAUUUAUAUGGUUCAUCCAAACCUUCGACUACUACAAGGUGUGGCUUGCAUCACAAUCUCUUGCUCAACAAUGUGGAAGCAAAAUUUGUAUAGGCUGUCUCUCCCACAAUUUCAAAUUUCUAGUUUUCCAAAAAAAAAAAAAAAAAGGGAAAUUCAACAAAGCGUCAUCAAUGGAGGACAACUACAAAUUCUCAAAAGCUUCACACUAUCUUGAUCAAGAUAGUGUGAAGCAAAAUCAAUUCGUGGUACCCAACAAAGCUUCACCAUAAAAGCUUCAUCAAUGGAGGACAACUACAAAUUCUCAAAAGUUUCACACUAUCUUGAUCAAGGUGUGAAGCAAAAUCAAUUCAUGGUACCCAACAAAAGCUUCAACUCCAAAGCUUCACCUACAAAGCUUCACUUACAAAACUUCAACUCCAAAGCUUCACCUACAAAAGCUUCACCCACAAUAGCUUCACCUACAAAAGCUUCACCCAUAAAAGCUUUACCAGCAAAAACUUCACCCAUAAAAGCUUCACCCAUAAAAGCUUCACCACCACAAAAGCUUCACCUACAAAAGCUUCACCCAUAAAAGCUUCACCAACAAAAGUUUCCCCCACCACAAAAGCUUCCCCCACCAUAAAAGCUUCACCCACAAAAGCUUCCCCCACCACAAAAGCUUCCCCCAUAAAAGCUUCACCCACCACAAAAGCUUCACCCACCACAAAAGCUUCACCUACAAAGCUUCAACAUAAAAGCUUCACCUACAAAAGCUUCACACUAUCUUGAUCAAGAUAGUGUGAAGCAAAAUCAAUUCAUGGUACCCAACAAAGCUUCAACCUCAAAGCUUCACCUAUAAAGCUUAUAUAUAUAUAUAUAUAUAUAUAUAUAUAUAUAUAUAUAUAUUCGGAAAUUCGAAAAUUCAAAAAUUCAAAAAAAAAAAAAAAACGUUGCCUAGGCCUCCUCUUCUUUGGGCCUAACAACUUUCAUAACAAAUAUAUAUGAAGGAUGAGUUUUGGGCUACCACUUAGAAAGGAAAAUGGUGAAGUUUUGUUACUUUGGAAACUUGGCUACUAGCAAGACACCUCCUUCGUCAACUCCCUUGACCAGACACUUGGGAGACUCCUACCAUAUGCUACUGCACCUUGAUACUCGGAAGUCUCACGACCACUUAGUGACUUGGAUUUUUUCAAGUCUCCAACCGAGAAGUUUUCCUCACUCGGAAAAUUAAGGGAGCACUACCUUAACCUAUAUGCUUCACUCAUAAAGCUUCAACAUACAAGCUUCAACAAAAGGAAAAAUUCAAAGAACUUAGUGAAGAAGACCUUGGUGUAUUUAACACAAUACGUUGAAAUGAAGCAAAGUUUGUUUAUUGAUAUCUCCGAUAAGUUACAAAUAUGUACAUAUACAUGAAUCAAAAUAAACAAAUAAGAGGGAGCAUUCACAAAGGUUGCUCAGGAGAAGUCUCAGCAGUUGGCAGAGCCCCAAAAAGAGGAGGCACCAAAGGGUGAUUAUUCGGAGCCUCAGUACUAGGCAGAACCCCAGAAGGAUGAGGCACUGAAGGUUGAUCAUUUGAAGCUUCAUUACACGGUACGUUCUCAGAAGAUGAAGGCAAUAAAUGCCUUUGGAACAAACCCACAAACCUCUGAUGAUCAAGUAAAAUCUGACCAUCAGAUUCCUGCAGCUGGUCGAGCUUCCUCUUCAUGUUUGUAGCAUAGUCAUGUGCGAGCCUGUGCAACUGUUUAUUCUCAUGCUUGAGCCCUCUGAUCUCCUGUUUAAGACUUAUCACUUCAGCCGCCAAUGAUUCAACUUGGCGGGUUCGAGCAAAUAGGCGCUGGGCCAUAUUAGACACAGAACCUGCACACUGAACACUGAGAGCCAGAGAAUCCUUGACAGCCACCUCAUCAGACCGUUUGGAAAGUAGUCUGUUAUCUUUGGAAGUGAGAAGGUUCAUGGCCACCACCGCAGCGGUCAUAUCAUUCUUCAUCACAGAGUCCCCAACGGUAAGAGAACCAAUAGAGGAUAAGACGGAUGGGCGCCAUAUAUUGUCUUGAGAAGGCAUGGAUGCCUCUUCACCAAAUUUCAAGUCAAAAAGAUGGUCGGAUGGGCCAGACAUUCUCAUAAAUGAUGAAGGAGAAAUGAGGUGCAAUAAAUCUCUGAAGUAAGGGGAAAAUUCCUACAAGCAAUAACUCUUUGAAUGUACUUCUUGCACACAAUUGGUGCCCUUAUAAAAGAAAGGGCAACAGGGUCGUUGGUUCAAAAAUCAAAGAGGCACCACUCUCCGGAUUCCGAAGAGGUACCACUUUCCACAUGCAACAUCAGCUCAUCGGGUACCACAGAUAACUUUGCUAGUUUAGACACAUAAAUUUUGAAGGCCAACUACCCCACUAUUACCCACAAGGGUAAAGGAACAGCACCACUGCUUGAUAACUAGAAAGUCCCUAUGUGUGUCAACCUCUAUGCUCCGUGGCAAGACAGACUGGCAAAAAUGCCCAACCUUUACUUACAUUCGAGAAAACACUUCCAACAAGAUUGCUUGCUCAAAAAUCGAAGAGACACAGCUCUCCGAAUCUCGAAAGCCAGACUCCCAACAGGAUUACUUGCUCAAAAAUCGAAGAAGCACCGCCCUUCGAAUCUCGAGAGCCAGACUCCCAACAGGAUUACUUGCUCAAAAAUCGAAGAGGCACCACUCUCCGAAUCUCAAGAGCCAGACUCCCAACAGGAUUGUUUUCUCAAAAAUCGAAGAGGCACCGUUCUCUGAAUCUCGAGAGCUAGAUCCCCGAUAGGAUUGCUUGUUCGAAAACCGAAGAGGCACCGCUCUCCGAACUUUGUGAGGUAGAUUUCCUUGGAUAAAGCUUGUUUACAAUCUUCACACGCAACAUUAGCUUUCCAGAUAACACAGACCAAUUUUUCAAAGUGCUCUGACAAAGUUAAAACACGUGAAUCUUGCAGCUCCCACUACAUUGCUAUGACCGAGAAGGGUACAGGAACAGCGUUACCACUUGCUGUUGGGACAAUUCCUAUAUAUGUCGACCUUCAUCCUCCACAGCCAGGCAGACCUGCAAAUAAAAAAAAUGCUCAACUUUUCUUCACAUCCGAGAGGGCACUCUCAGCAGAGUCUCUCGAAAUACUCAACUUAUUUUCCCCCUGAUAAUACCUCUGCAAACAAGCCACACCAAAGCAAGAGUAUCUCAUAUCAUCAGGGUUAAAAGCAAGAGUAUCCCAUAUCAUGUUUUUUCCCUGUCUUUUCCUUUGGCCUUGUUCUUACCUGUAAGACAAGGAGAAAGAGAGCAAUCAGUCAACACUUGGAAUCAAGCUUCUAGUCAAGAACUGACUGCCUGGAACCCCUUGCCUGAUUACUUACCUGGCAUUGCUCUCGAGUACUCGUCUUCAACAUCUUAUGCUUCUAGAGAAGAUACCACAUCUACCUGAGGAACAGAUAGGGCAAGUGAGAAUAAUACAAGGAAGCAUGUGAAGACAAGCGUAAGAGAACACGUGCCGAUACAUCCACUACUUUUUCAACAGCAAAAGUAUCUCAUAUCAUCAUGGUCAAAUGUACUCUAGAUUUGAUGAACUUGUUUUGACCCUCAAAUUCUUGAGUUGGCCUUAUACUCUGGAGGAAACCAGAAAACCCUCCAGCCCAGUUCAAGAAUAAGCUUGUGGAAAGUAACUUCUUCAAAAGCAAAAGUAUCUCAUAUCAUCUCUUCUCCAUUUGCUUCUCCUUAUCCAUGUUGCUGUUUACGACACAAUGAGAAUGAGAACAAUCAACCGGAAGCCGAAGUUGAACAUCCGAUCCAGGUUGCUUGCUUGGAAGUCUGAUUGCUUACCUUGUCUGUUACCUAUUUCGGCAAAUCUCCUAGUAAGCUUCAAGUGAAAUUGACCAAGCCCGAAACUACAAGUAAGCUUCAAUUGAAAUUGAUACAUUACCUUGUGCAUCUUCAUCGGUUAAAGAUACCACCCAUGGAUGGAGGAAAAGUACUUCCAGAGAAGAUGUCACAUCUACAUAUGAGACAGAUAAGGCAAAUGAAAAUGAUACCACACUUUGGUACUUAGAAGUUUCGUGAUUACUCAAUGGCUUGGAUCUUGCAAGUCCCCAACCUAGGAGUUUCCCUCACUCGGGAACUUAGAGGAGCACUAUUUGUACCAUACUUGACCAAUCCUGAAACUACUGAGCACCGGUCAACGUUAUACCAUCAAGGACCCAGAAGAGUUUCUGUCCAAUCAGGAGGUUAAUCACAGCAUCAGAAGCCAAUCAUAGCACGACAUGUGUCAACAUCAAAAGUCAAUCACAACACGACACGUGUCAAUGUCAGAAUGAAACUAGAAACUCUCUUCUAUAAAUAAUGAUCGUUCUCUCACAAUAUUUCCUAAUGUCAUUUGUACUAAAUCAUUCACUAGUACUUACUAAAGGAGAGCUUGAACCUAUGUAUUUGUGUAAACCCUUCACAAUUAAUGAGAACUCCUCUACUCCAUGGAUGUAGCCAAUUUGGGUGAACCACGUACAUUUUGUGUUUGUUUCCCUAUCCUUAUCCAUUUACUUACUUAUCCACACUAGUGACCGGAGCAAUCUAGCGAAGGUCACAAACUUAACACUUUCUGUUGUACCAAAGUCCUCGCUGAUUUUGUGCAUCAACAGUAUGUAAUAGUACAUAAUAUUUAAGGAUAUUAGGAACUGACGGAUCAGGAAUCUGACAUACGGAUCUUUCCAGAUGGGUUUUCUAAGUUUGUAAAUCUAAACGUCGGCUGCCAUUUAAUUUUAGCGAUUGGUAGAGAUUCAACCAUUAGAUCAUUCCGAAACUUUAGGAUGUUGUUCUAGAAGCUUAUUGAAACUCUUAGGAAGUUAAGGAUCAGAAAUCUGAUAUGCGGAUCUUCCGGAUUAAGUUACGUAGGGUUGUGGACCCUACGGUCGACUUUUAACCGACAGUUAACUUUUGGUCAAUGGGUUACAAUUCAUUCUAGAACGUCCUUGGGGAUGUGUUUUAUGUAAUUUAUGUGCUCUAUCGAUAAGAAUUCUGAGAAGUGAUUUAAUAUUUGUUCUAGGCGACGAUCAUUCGUGAUGCCUCGAUAUUCGUGCUAGGGAGUUGUAGUGCGGACUUCAGGUGAGUGAGUCUUUUCUUUUAUAUAGUAUAUACAUAUUUGCUAGUUUCCAUUUAUACAUUGGAAAAAGAAUUUACUAUGUAUGCCUAGCUUAGACUAAUGCUUAUAAGAAUUAGCGAAAUAACGGAAAAUUACGAAGUUAUUAUAAAUCCUACAGGAUGCACAGGUAUGCGUACCUUUAUGUCGAUGUGAAUUAUCGGAUCACUGUGGCAUGGCUAUAUUUGGCUAUAUUUAAGUUAUUUGAUCAUCGUUUGUUGCACUGGAGUUGGUACUUGCCCGGGCCAAGGCCAGUCUUUCACUUGUAUGUGCAUAUCGCACCGUACACUCAUUUUGGAUCCAUUGUAGGUGAUAGUCUUGUCGUACAGGUUGCAAUAGGCAACUCCGACUCGUAUGUGUUGCACAUAGUGCCAGUCUUCACGUGAUUGUAGUACCAGAUCGUAUACUAUUAUUACACCCAGUCAUGUUCAUGUCAGAAUAUCUCUGCAUGAAAUCAUGUGUCAACAUGUGUCGAUGAGCACCCGAUAUGAUAUGUUGCUUAUGUGAGAUUUUGUGAUUAUGGAUGUCAUGUCCUUAUUUACGAGAUAUUGUGCCGUAAUGAAUUCUUGAGAUUUUGCAGGCUACGGUAAGUAUUUUCUUACUAUAGUAUGUAUAUUUUGGAAACUAUACUUGUUUUACAGCGAGGGGUUAUUAUGUUUUCGAAAAUGUUUUUACAAAGAUUUGUUUCUAGGCCCACUCACCCUUGUUUUUUUGCCCCUCUAGGUUUUAGUAGCUGAGCUUUCUUAUUGAUGAGGAUUCUUGGAAAAUCUUGGUGUAGACAAUUACCUUCAAUGGUAUAAUUCUCACCCUAUCUUACUGUAUUGUACUUAUGCUCUGACAUCACGUGAAAUGGAUUCAUUCCCGCUCACAGCGCACUCUUAUAUUUAGGCACUUUUAGGUUUAAAUUUAUUCACAUAUUCCACCACACUAUACUUUAUGGCUUUGUCACCUUCCAAGUGUCGGCCAGCACAGCUCGAUUCAGGGUCUAAGUGGACAUUCCGGAUUGGGGUGUGUCAUAGUGGGAUUGUAGCCGCCUUAACUUGUUUGCCCUCUAAAGUCCUCGGGAUAAGUCUCUCAUAUAUGAGAAACCACUAUACUAAGCAACAACUAAAGAAAAACUUGAAAUCUCCCUUUGUUUGCUUAUUUUGGGAGUUAAAAAUGUUUGAAAAGGGAAAAAUACAUGAUACAAAUGGCUCUAUAUCUAGAAUUAUUGUGACUCUCAACUCUAUUUAGGUGUUGAGAAACAACAGGAAAUGAGAAGUUGGGGAACUUCUAGAUUUUCUCCCUGUAGUUUUGAUUAGUAACUAGCAAAUGUAUAGCAGUUUUGACAAACAUAUUGAGAAAGAAAAAAUAUAAAUGUAUGAAAAAUAUCUAAACUUAUUGAGCCAAUGUUAAAUUAGGACAAUUAUGAGCCCAUCAUUCUUUUAGCCUAGGUUGGUUUGGUUCCCUCCAGAAAAAAAAUUUGGUCAUUGGGAAUAUGAAUAUUACUCCUCAUUUUGUAAUAUUAUACUCUCUUAUAUUUAAUGUACAACUCUACCCAAGUAGUGUACUCCAACCUUAGGGUUUAGAAGUGACCUUUAAACAGUUGAAGGAGAAAAUUUGGAAUUCGCCCAACUAGUUUCUCAUUUCCCGUCCCAAUCCGAGAGUAUGAAUUCCACAUCUAGAUCUCGUGUGGCUCGUUAGACAUUCACAUGUUCAGUCUUUAUUGUGAGAUAUUUGAAAACUUUUCUUGUUUUGAUGCUUGGAUUGGAGAAAUAAAGCACACAAGAUAUUCGAUUGGAAAACUUGCGGUCAUUGUAACUGUGCAAGUGUAUACCUAUUUAAAUAUAAUAUUGUACCAUUAAUCCUAAUCUAUUAAUUAUUUUAUUACUUAAUAAAGCCCCUUAUUUUUCUCAUAUUUUUUUUCUCCUAUCUAUUUCCUAAACCAUUGAAAGCAUUCAAGCAUUUUUAUUUUUUUGAACAAACUAUAUUAUCUAACACUAAGGGGGUGAAAAUUGGGCUAAGCAUCACAAUGGUCAUGCAAUAAUAUGGUUCAAACUCGUCUUUGACGAGAAUCGAAUCUAAAACCUCUCACUUACUUAUGAAGAGGAACAUCACUAGAUUGUAGUACUAAGUGCCCACCAAAAAAAAAGUUAAAAGCAAAAGAUGUGUCGCAAAACUAUUAUAAGCAAUGCUUUCUCACAACUAAGGUAGCUUUUGUGCCGGACCAUCUACUUUCUAGCAAACCUUGAAAUUUGGGACUUUUUUUUUUGUUCCAGGUGCAUGAUAUCUGAAGCACUGCCCCACAUCAAAGCAGUCGAACUUGGCAGCAUUCUAUUCUUUUCAAAUGGGAGGUCCUUAUGAACAGUUAUAGACCAGAAUAGUAAAAUUAACUCCAAUGGCUGGGGUUAAAAUAUAAAUUUUUAGCCUAGAAAAUUUGGGUCCUAAACCAAAAACAUUUUUUCUCUUCCAAUGGUUUUGGCUUAAAUAUUUAGUCCAAGAUUAUUAAAGAAUGAAUUUAGGUUAAAGUUAAGGUAAAUAAUGAAAAAUCAUUAAGCCUAUCUCAUUCUUAUACAUAUGCACCACAUGAAAGAAUAUGGAAAACCACACAACCUACCAUGUUUUUAAACACAAAUACAUAGGUAGGUAGAUAGAAAAAAAACAGGAAGAAAUGUUUGACGAAAGUGAAUUCAUCUUAUGCUUGAACCAAUAUAUAGGUAUUUAUAGAGUUUUUUUUUUGUGAAUUGUGAUUUAAAUCAUUUUUUAAUUGUUUUAGCCGUUGAAUUUAAUUUUGAGUUGUUAGAUCUUCUUAUUACCAUUAAAUUUGUUCAUAUUAGAUCUCAACCGUUAGAUUUAAUGUAUUUAUAAAUUUGAUUUUAAAAAAAUGAAUUUGGGCCGUUGGUUGAAAAGCAGCCCAACGACGUGGGUUGUCCGAUAAAAGUCAUUGGUCUUUCCACAAGUGGCUGACAACGUUAACAACUAAGUGUCAACCACUAACCUUGACUCAUUUUCUAGACCAAAUUUGGCUCACAAAAUAAGUUUUCACCCAAAACUUUUGUUUAGCCCAAUGAUUAAAGAAGCUUUAAGUCAGUUUAAAACUGAAAAUUUGAAUUUUAACCCAACCAUUGGAGUUGGUCUAAGCGAGUUAAAAAUGUCUCGCACUCCAGCCCUUUAGCCUUGGAAUUUUUUUGUUCAAAAUAGGCUACAUUGGGCUCUUUGGUACUCCAUUCGAGCUGGGCUAAGGUGGGUGGAAAACAAAAAAAGUUGGUGAGCGUAGUAGCACUAAUUUUUAAUUAUUUUUCAGCAUUUUUUUAGAAAUGAAUUACAGAUAUCCCAUCUAUAUCUCCGUGAUUUUAUACCCUCGGUAUUUCCGUCAUAAAUGAUAUAUAAUACUUUGCUAGUCAUCAUCAACAAUUCAAGGAGAAAAUAAGUGCCCAACUUUUCAUCUUCUUUUCUCUUCAAGUUGUUUCUCAGCAACCAAACAAGGUUUAUCGACUGUCCGACGCCAUAAAACUAGAUCUAGAGCCAUAUCAGGUUUUUUUUUUUCCUCUUUGAAUAACUUCUCUACUUUUACUUAGACUUGGCAGUUUUUGACACGACACGAAAACGAUACGAAAAUAACGGGUUUCGGGUCAACAGAUAACUUAUCGGGUCACUAUCGGGUGACCCGUUAAUAACGGGUUCUUAACAGGUAUACACGCGGGUAACACGUGGGUAACCCGUUUCGACCCGUUAAGAAAAAAAAUAUUUUAAUAAUCUUAAAGUUUAAUUACUAAAAGAUUUAUUAUAAAAUACAAUAGUCAUAUUAAUAUAUACAAUAUAUUCUAUAUUAAAUAUAUAGUUUUGUAUUAUUGUUCUAUAUAAAUUAUAAAUAAAAAAAAAAGUUUUAGUCAUUAUUUAUUUUUAUUAUGAGAGUUCCUUAUUAUCAUUACUAGGAUAAAUUUUACAUAACAUAUUCUUGUCCAAAAUUAAAAUAUACUAGUAUAGUAUUUGUAUAUGCAAGAACUAAGAAGACAUACAUACAAGUAUGAAAAAUGUGAAAGAACAUAUAAACACUCGUGAUUUAUCAUUAUUCCUCUACGAAUAGAUAAUUGUUACACUUAUAUUAUCGUUUAGAUUUUUAAAAUCCUUCAAACCCUCAUGAAUAAUGUCUUUUAUUUGGGGGCAAAAUUAAUAAAAUUAAUAAUAAUUAUUGUAGAAGUGUAAAAAAUGUAAAAAUAUAUAUAUACAAUCACUCAUAAAUAAAUAAAUGUAAAUGCUUUAAAUUAAAGAUCAAAUUUAUUCAUUACAUUCUUAUAGGGGUCGAGGAGUGUAUAUGUACAAAAUCAUCAAAAUCGAAGCUAAAAUAACCGUUAAAUUGUGAUUUUUCGUUUAUAACCGUCGAAAACUUUUGUUCCGUUACGUAAUCUUUGAAUGUUUGUUUUUUACGAUUUUUUAAGUUUGCAAUCUCGGAAUGUGUACAAAUAAGUUUGACGGUUGGAUCGUUGAAAAAAGUUUCGUAGAAUUCAUAUUGCGUCAAAACGGUAUAUUAAACAAACCCUUAGAGUUAAUAUUAUACUUCUAUUAAGUAUAACACUAGUUUUUGUGGUAUCCACUAGUGUAAAUACUUUAAAUUAAAGAUCAAAUUUAUUCAUUACAUUCUUAUAUGGUCGAGGAGUGUAUCUGUAAAAAAAUCAUCAAAAUCGGAGUUAAAAUAACCGUUAAAUUGUGAUUUUUCGUUUAUAACCGUCGAAAACUUUUGUUCCGUUACGUAAUCUCUGAAUGUUUGUUUUUUACGUUUUUUUAAGUUUGCAGUCUCAGAAUGUGUACAAAUAAGUUUGACGGUUGGAUCGUUGAAAAAAGUUUCAUAGAAUGCAUAUUGCGUCAAAAUGGUAUAUUAAACAAACACUUAGAGUUAAUAUUAUACUUCUAUUAAGUAUAAAAUAAGUUUUUGUGGUAUCCACUAGUGUAAAUACUUUAAAUUAAAGAUCAAAUUUAUUCAUUACAUUCUUACAGGGUCGAGGAGUCUAUCUGUAAAAAAUCAUCAAAAUCGAAGCUAAAAUAACCGUUAAAUUGUGAUUUUUCGUUUAUAAUCAUCGAAAACUUUUGUUCCAUUACGUAAUCUCUGAAUGUUUGUUUUGUACAAUUUUUUAUGUAUGCGAUCUUGGAAUGUGUACAAAUACGUUUGACGGUUAGAUCGUUGAAAAAAGUUUUGUAGAAUGCAUAUUGCGUCAAAACGAUUGAUUAAACAAACACUUAGAGUUAAUAUUAUACUUUUAUUAAGUAUAAAAUAAGUUUUUGUGGUAUCCACUAGUGUAAAUACUUUAAAUUAAAGAUCAAAUUUUUUCAUUACAUUCUUAUAUGGUCGAGGAGUGUAUCUGUACAAAAAAUCAUCAAAAUCGGAGUUAAAAUAACCAUUAAAUUGUGAUUUUUCGUUUAUAACCGUCGAAAACUUUUGUUCCAUUACGUAAUCUCUGAAUGUUUAUUUUUUACGAUUUUUUACGUAUGCAAUCUCAAAAUGUGUACAAAUAAGUUUGAUGGUUGGAUCGUUAAAAAAAGUUUCGUAGAAUCCAUAUUGCGUCAAAAUAGUAGAUUAAACAACCACUUAAAGUUAAUAUUAUACUUCAAUUAAGUAUAAAAAAAAAAUUUUGUGGUAUAUACUUUAAAUUAAAGAUCAAAUUUAUUCAUUACAUUCUUAUAGGGUCGAGGAGUGUAUCUGUAAAAAAAUCAUCAAAAUCGGAGAUAAAAUAACCGUUAAAUUGUGAUUUUUCGUUUAUAACCGUCAAAAACUUUUGUUCUAUUAUGUAAUCUCUGAUUGUUUGUUUUUUAUGAUUUUUACGUAUGUGAUCUCGGAAUGUGUACAAAUAAGUUUGACGGUUGGAUCAUUGAAAAAAGUUUCGUAGAAUGCAUAUUGCAUCAAAACGGUAGAUUAAACAAAUACUUAGGGUUAAUAUUAUACUUUUAUUAAGUAUAAAAUAAGUUUUUGUGGUAUCUACUAGUGUAAAUACUUUAAAUUAAAGAUCAAAUUUAUUCAUUUCAUUCCUAUAGGGUUGAGGAGUGUAUUUGUAAAAAAUCAUCAAAAUCGGAGCUAAAAUAACCGUUAAAUUGUGAUUUUUCGUUUAUAACCGUCGAAAACUUUUGUUCUAUUACUUAAUCUCUGAAUGUUUGUUUUUUAUGAUUUUUUUACUUAUGCGAUCUCGGAAUGUGUACAAAUAAGUUUGACGGUUGGAUCAUUGAAGAAAGUUCUGUAGAAUGCAUAUUGCGUCAAAACAGUAGAUUAAACAAACACUUAGAGUUAAUAUUAUACUUCUAUUAAGUAUAAAAUAAGUUUUUGUGGUAUUCACUAGUGUAAAUACUUUAAAUUAAAGAUCAAAUUUAUUCAUUACAUUCUUAUAGGUCGAGGAGUCUAUCUGUAAAAAUUCAUCAAAAUCGGAGAUAAAAUAACCGUUAAAUUGUGAUUUUUCGUUUAUAACCGUCGAAAACUUUUGUUCCAUGACGUAAUCUUUGAAUGUUUUUUUUUUACGAUUUUUUACUUAUGCGAUCUCGGAAUGUGUACAAAUAAGUUUGACGGUUGGAUCGUUGAAAAAAGUUUCGUAGAAUGCAUAUUGCGUCAAAACAGUAGAUUAAACAAACACUUGGAGUUAAUAUUAUACUUCUAUUAAGUAUAAAAUAAGUUUUUGUGGUAUCCACUAUUGUAAAUACUUUAAAUUAAAGAUCAAAUUUAUUCAUUACAUUCUUAUAGGGUCGAUGAGUGUAUCUGUAAAAAAUCAUCAAAAUCGGAGCUAAAAUAACCGUUAAAUUGUGAUUUUUCGUUUAUAACCGUCGCAAACUAUUGUUCCAUUACGUAAUCUCUGAAUGUUUGUUUUUUACAAUUUUUUACGUAUGCAAUCUUGGAAUGUGUACAAAUAAGUUUGAUGUUGGAUCGUUGAAAAAAGUUUUUGGACAGCCAGCAAUAGAUAAUUUUGUAGUAGUGAAACCUUAAAUUUAUUUAACCGUCGAUUAUCAUUUACGCUUUAUUCUUCUUACUGAAUUUCAUUUUUAAAAUUUUAUUUUUUGAAAACAUGAUCAUCUAGCAGAUGUAAGAAGAUGAUAUCACGUUUCGAUAUUUACGGUUAACUGAAAUAUGAGUCAAUGUCAUAUAAUUUGUAGAAACUUUAUAAACAUCAAGCAAUAUUUUCACUAACCGUAAAACUCUAAAUAUAAUAUCAACGAUUCAAACCGUUCAUCUACAUGCACCCUCUAAUAGAUCAUGUUUUCAAAAAAGAAAAUCUAAAAAAACGAAAUUUGAUGAGAACAAUGAAGCAUAAAUGUAAACAACAAUCAACGGUUAAAUUUUGAUCUAUGAUUUAUAUGAUUAUAGUAGCGAAUUUCGAAGUUAAGCUCUUUAUGAAAGUUAUAAAGCUUGUCAUUACGAGUGUUUAUAUAUUUUUUUUCUAUAUUUUUUUACACUUCUACAUUAAUUAAAAAACUAUUAAAGACUUUAGGUAAGCGAAAAUAUACUUAAAACAAAAUUGCGUUUUUAUGUUUUGGAUGUGAUAAUAUGGAAUGUAUAUACUUAUUUAGUAUUAUGUUUUUCAUUUGAUUAUUUAUUAGUUUAAAAUAUAUUUUCCUUAACGGGUAACAUGUCGGGUCAUAUUACCUGUUAAUAUUAUCGGGUCGAUUUCGGGUCGGGUCAUUUUACCCGUUUAUUUUAACGGGUGUUACACGACACGACCCGUUAAGAUAUUGGGUAUGACACAAAAACGACACGAACACGGAAAACACGACACAAAUGUCAGGUCUACUUUUACUCAGACAAAAUCUUCUCCAUUUACCCUUUAUCUAAGGAACACAAGUUGAAUUCUUGAAUUCUUCUCUAGAGAUAUAUCUGGUAUUUUUCCCUUUUCAAAUAUCUUUUCAAUUAUUGAAUUCUUUGUUCUAUUAUAUAUUUUUUCAUGAUGAAGCUAAAUGGAAGUGGCUUGAAAGUUGUUAUAUGUUCUAGAUCUAUCCUUGUACUUUUGUUUGUCUUAAUUUUGUUCUACCUAUUUAGUGAUAUCCUACAUCAUUCUCAAUUUGGAUACUUCGAAAAACUUACGGAAAGCUUAGAUUUGAAUUUGUGAGAUGAAUUCUUAGUCAAAAGUGGACCAAAUAACAUAGGGGCAAAGGGGGGGGUGGGGGAGGAGGGAGGGAGAGAGAGAGAGAGAGAGAGAGAGAGAGAGAGAGAGAGAGAGAGAGAAGAGAGAGAGAGAGAGAGAGAGAGAGAGAGAGAGAGAGAGUCCAAAUUCUCUGCCGUUUUUGGUUUAAUGCGGAAUUUUGAAUAUAAUGAGGGUGUUGUCACUGAUGUUAGGCAAGGUUGCUAUACUGAUGUUGGUGGGUUGGUAUGUCAUAUGUUUUUUUUUUUUGGUAAAAGACUGUUUACCACCCUCAUGUUUGGUGGUUUUCAACAUUUAGUACAUCAAGUUUUUUUCGUCCCAGAGUCAUACCUAAAGUGUAAAUUUUGGGACAGUCUCAUACAUCUGUUAGUCAAACUGUUAAUUCUCCCGUUAAGUGAUGAUGUGGCGCCCUGAUUGGACGCCACGUGUCAUUAAAAAAAUAAAAUUUUUAUUUAAAUAAAAAUUUUAUUAAAAAAUAUUUAAAUAAAUAUUUAAAUAAUAAAAUAAUAAUAAAAUAUUUUUUUUUUCCUUCUUCUCUUCUUCUUCUUCUUCUUUUUUUUUUUUUUUUUCUUCUUCUUCUUCUUCUUCUUCUGGGUUCAGUUCUCUCUUUUUUUUCUUUUUUUUUUUAUUCUUCCUCCUCCUUCUCCUUCUUCUUCCUUCUCCUUCCUCCUCAUUCUUCUUCUCCUUCUUCUUCCUUCUUAAGAAGGAAGGAGGAGAAGGAAAAAAAACAGAAAAAAAAAAAAAAAAAAAAACCGAACCCAGAAAAGAAGAGGAAGGAGAAGGAAGAAGAAGAAGGAGAAGAAGAAGGAGGAGGAAGGCGAAGGAAGAAGAAGGAGAAGGAGGAGGAAGAAGGAAAAAAAAAAAAGAGAAACCGAACCCAAAAGAAGAAGAAGGAGGAGGAAAGAGAAGGAAGAAGAAGGAGAAAGAGGAGGAAGAAGAAGAAGAAGAAGAAAAAAAAAAGAGAAACCGAACCCAGAAGAAGAAGAAGAAGAAGGAGAAGAAGAAGGAGGAGGAAGGAGAAGGAAGAAGAAGGAGGAGGAGGAGGAAGAAGGAAAAAAAAAAAAAAGAAACCGAACCCAGAAGAAGAAGAAGAAGAAGAAGAAGAAGAAGAAAAAAAAAAAAAGAAGAGGGAAAAAAUAUAUAUUUUAUUAUUAUUUUAAUAUUUUUUAAUAUUAUUUUUAUUUAAAUAAAUUUUUUAUUUUUUUAAUGACACGUGGCGUCCAAUCAGGGUGCCACGUCAUCACUUAACGGGAGAACUAACAGUUUGACUAACAGAUGUAUGAGACUGUCCCAAAAUUUACACUUUAGGUAUGACUCUGGGACGAAAAAAACUUGAUGUACUAAAUGUUGAAAACCACGAAACAUGAGGGUGGUAAACAGUCUUUUACCCUUUUUUUUUUUUUUUUGAAAUGUCGUAUAUUGGGUGGAAAAAUAGGAACAGUUGGUGGGCAUAAUAGCACUUAUUUUUACUAAUUUAAUAUUUUCUUUAAGAAAUGAAUUGCAGAUAUUUCUGUCUAUAUCUUCGUGUUUUCAGAUCCUCUGUAUUUUCGCCAUAACUGACAUGCAUGUAUAAUGCCUUGCUAUUGGGGAUCAACACUUUAAGGAGAAAAUAUGUGACAUAAAAGAUAUAUAAUAUCAUUCAUGCUAUUUCUCAGCAACCAAAAAAAUUUAAUCGGCGCCAUAAAACUAGAUCUGGAGUCAUAGCUUUUCUUUCUUUACUAAAAAAUCUAAUAUUAAUCUUUAUCCUAGGAACCUAAGCUUAAGCAACCUGAAUGUUUGUUAUAUAUUAUGAAUGUAUCUUUAUCUUUUGUUUGUUUUAAAUAAUGUUGUCUCUCUACUGAUAUAUAUCUAGUUGUUGUAAAAUAGUGGGUAUGUUUGCCCACAUGUAUAUAGUAACUCUUUCACAAGUUCAAUAGUGUCAUUUGUUUGUUUCCUAUGAGGUUGCUCUAUAAAUAGAACACUACAUUUGAUCAAAUUAGACUUGGAAGAAAAAAACAACGAAUAGCAAUAAUAUACAUUACUUCCUCUGCAACAGCUUGUGUUGGUAUAAUAUUUUGCAACUGCUUCGCUCAUGUCCCUAGUAAAGGUUAUCUCUCUAAAUUUGCCUAUUUAUAACACGUUAUCAACACGAGUUUCUAAUCAUUUCUCAUUUCCCUUCACCGAAAGAAAAAAAAAAAUUGUUUCCUCUAAGGUUUUUACUAUUCUUCUUCCUCUACCUCAAUUGUUGGAUAUACCCUCGCGAAGAACUGUUUGCACCAUGUUUACUUCUAAUUCUUAACCUAACAGUUACUUAUAUCUUUGAUUUCUUGUUUGGUGUAACUCUUGACUACUAACCCAGUGUUUAUUUAUGCAAUCCAAGAUGGUGCGGUAUCAUCGCCUAUCUUGGACUGCAAAUCUAAUUUUACUGCAAAUUUUAAGUGGAGCGGUAUAAUCGGCCACCCUAUCCUACAUAUUUAAAUUUACUUGCUAUUUAAUUUUAUUGCAAUUUGAGGUGGUGUGGAAUAAUCACCCACUCCGCUCUGCAUAUUUAAAUUUUAUUGCAAUUUUAGGUGGUGCGGUAUAAUCGUCCACCCUGCUUUGCAUAUUUAAAUUUUAUCGCAAUUUUAAGUGGUGCGGUAUAAUCGUCCACCUUCCUCUACAUAAUUAAAUUUUCCUGAUGUUUAAAGUAGUGCGGAAUAAUCGCCCAUCCCAUACUUGUUUCGAUGAGAAUAGUGCGAUACAAUUGCCCUUCUCAUUAAUCAUGUAAAUCUCGAGCCUGAAGUUUCGAGUACUUAACAUUUUGGCCUGAAGAUCAAAAAUUUUAAGAACCAGAAGUUCUAACAAUAUAUUCCUCCAGAACACAUAUUAUUGCAAGUUCUUACACACCUCAUUUUUCUUUCAGAAAAGAAAAUGGUAAACUUGGCAAAGCUUUUGCUGCCCUGGACAUUACUAGAAAGAUACCUGGGUACUGGAUACUAAAAUCCAUAUGGAAGCAGCGAAUCUUGGAGAUACCAUCAGGGAAAAUAGCAGCUCAUCCUCUCAAGAUCGGGCGAAGGCCAUGAUUUUUAUUCGUCGCCAUCUUGUUAAGGCACUAAAGAGCGAGUACUUAACGAUUAAAGAUCCGUUAGCCCUCUGGAAGGCCUUGAGAAACAGAUACAAUCACCAGACAACGGUGAUUCUUCCAAGAGCUCGCUAUGACUGGACUCGCCUAAGGAUCCAGGAUUUCAAGUCAGUGGCUGAGUACAAUUCUGCGUUGUUUAGAAUUACCUCUCAGAUGAAGCUCUGUGGGGAUACUAUUACUGAGGAGAUGUUACUGGAAAAGAUUUUCAGCACAUUUCAUGCCUCUAACAUGCUCAUGCGGCAGCAGUAUAGAGCGCGAGACUUCACUGAAUACAAGUAGCUGAUAUAUGUGCUCCUGGUAGCUGAACAGAACAAUGAACUCCUGAUGAAAAACCAGAAUUCCUAACCAACUGGAUCAGCACCAUUCCCAGAAGUGAAUGUUGCUUCCCUUGAAAGGAAUACCAUAUCCUCUUGUGGCAAUAAUUAUAAACAAGGACGUGGCCACAAGCGAGGCCGGUGGAACGAGAAAGGCAAGAACCAUGGUGUCCAGUUUCACAACCAGGUUCCAAGGCAUAAUCCAGGCCCGAGCUUUAAAAAUGCAAAUCGCGAGAAAGGAAAAACUCAUAUGAACACUCUUAGAAAUCCUGAAAGAGUUUGCCAUAGGUGUGGUGGCAACGGACAUUGGGUGCGUACUUGUCGCACCCCAAAGCAUCUGGUGGAGUUAUAUCAAGCCUCCUACAAAAAAGAGGGUGUCGAGAUCAAGUUCUUCGACCAGGCUCAACCAAUGGAAACCCCUGAUCCAGUGACCAAUUUAUCAGGACAGUUAAACACAACCCAACUGAAUGCUACAGACUUUAUUAAUGAAAGAGGGAAUGAAGUUUAUGGGUCCGAUUGGAUUAUUUAUGUUUAAUGUACUCUUAUUAUUUGUACUUGUGAUUUAAUGCUCGCAUUUUCAAUUCAAUAAAAGUAGUAUUCCAGUAUGAAUAAACUACUUUUUCUUUACUCAGAGAACAUGGAUAAAAAUUAUGGUUAUUCUCAAAACAAUAUCAAUGGCGGAGACUUUUGUCUUGCAGACAGCGCAACCACGCAUUCAAUACUUCAAGAAUGAAAGUAUUUCUCAAAUUUGGUACUUGCAAAAGUAAAGGUAACAACAAUAUCAGGGCAAUCAGAUGUAAUUUAAGGCUUAGGAAAAGCCCAGAUUAUGUUACCAAAUGGAACAAUAUUGUCCAUACAGAAUGCAUUAUACGAUACUCGAUCUAUUCGAAAUUUGUUGAGUUUUAAAGACAUACGUCUAAAUGGAUACCACAUUGAAACAAAAAGUGUAGAAAAUGUGGAAUAUUUAUGCAUUACCUCCAAUGAUACCCAUAAGCAUAUAUUGGAGAAGUUGCAUGGUUUAUCGAGUGGAUUGUAUUAUACAUACAUAAAGACAGUUGAGGCAUAUACUGUCAUGAACCAGAAGUUCAUUAAUUCAAAGGUUUACAUGCUUUGGCAUGACCGUCUGAGUCAUCCAGGAUCUACCAUGAUGCGUAGAAUCAUUACCAACUCUAGUGGACAUCCAUUAAUGAGCAAACACAUUGAUGGCUUAAACGAUAACCCUUGCAAGGCUUGUUCCCAAGGGAAGUUGGUAAUUAGACCAUCACAACUAAAGGUUGAUGAUGAAUCCCCAUUAUUUUUGCAAAGAAUUCAAGGGGAUAUUUGUGGACCUAUUUAACCACCUUGUGUUCCAUUUUGAUAUUUUAUGGUUUUGGUUGAUGCAUCUACCCGAUGGUCACAUGUUUGCCUAUUGUCUACUCAAAAUGUAGCUUUUACGAGACUUCUUGCUUAGAUAAUUAAGUUGCGAGCACAGUUCCCAGAUCAUCCCAUUAAGUCCAUUCGACUUGAUAACGCUGGUGAAUUUGCAUCUCAAACCUUUGAUGAUUACUGCAUGGCACUGAGCAUUGAUGUUGAACAUCUUGUUCCUCAUGUCCAUACCCAAAAUGGUUUAGCAGAGGCAUUUAUCAAGCGGCUUCAAUUAAUAGCCCGCACUUUGCUCAUGAAAAAGAAAUUGCAAGUCUCAGCAUUGGGACAUGCCAUCUUACAUACAACAUCAUUAGUUCGACUGAGACUCAUAGCCAACCACCAAUACUCAUUAAUACAACUCGUGUUUGGACAUCAGCCAAACAUUUCACAUUUAUGAGUUUUUGGUUGUGUUGUUUAUGUGCCUGUUGCAUCGCCACAACGAACUAAAAUGGGACCUUAGCAUAUUGGGAAUUUAUGUGGGUUUUGAUUCACCAUCUAUCAUUAGAUAUUUGGAACCUUUGACUGGUGAUAUGUUUACAACUCGUUUUGCUGAUUGUCAUUUUGACGAGACAGUUUUCCCGUCGUUAGGGGGAGGAAAGACCGUUCUAGAAGAACAGCAAGAGCUGACAUGGGUUGUUCCCACCUUAUCUCAUUUUGAUCCACGAAGCACUCAAUGUGAAAAUGAAGUGAAAAUGAUCGUUCAUCUUUAAGGUAUUGCUAAUCAAAUGCAAGAUGCAUUUAAUGAUGCUUCAAAAGUGACACAGUCACAUAUACCAGCUGCAAACACACCUGCAAGAAUUGAUGUCUCUAUUGGACAAAAUAAAGUGGCAAAAAAUGAUUCAUCCAGUGCAUGUCUGAAGCGUGGUAAACCCCCAAGUUCAAAAGAUUCAGCCCCUCGAAAGAGAAAGAUGAGGGCACAGUUGAACCCAAAUGAUAUCAUUCAAGAAAAGAAAUUGAAUGAUAAAUCCACAAUUCGUGAUUCUGUACUUCCAGAAAAAAGAAAAUGUCCUUGAUGAGACACAUGUCUCUGAAGAGAUAGAAGUACAAGAAAGCAAAGAAAUAUCCAUAAAUUAUGCAUGUACUAAUGAAUUGUGGGAUCGAAAUGAAAUAAUCAUCGACAACAUGUUUGCAUUUGCAAUAGCCACUGAAAUUAUCUUAAGUGAUGAUAUUGAGCCCCGCUCUGUUGAUGAAUGCAGACAGAGACAAGAUUGGCCUAAAUGGAAAGAUGCAAUCCAGGCAGAAUUAAAUUCCUUGGAAAGAUGAAGUGUUUUUGGACCAGUAAUCCAAACCUCGCCUGGUGUGAACCUCGUAGGUUACAAAUGGGUAUUCACAAGGAAACGUAACGAGAAAAACGAGAUUGCAAGAUAUAAAGCACGACUCGUUGCACAAGGUUUUUCACAAAGACCUGGAAUUGAUUAUGAAAAGACAUAAUCUCCUGUAAUGGACGCAAUUACAUUCCGUUACUUAAUAAGUUUGGUGAUUUCAGAAAAACUUGACAUGCGACUUAUGGAUGUCAUCACCGCGUAUCUAUAUGGAGAAUUAGAUACUGACAUAUAUAUGAAAGUCCCAGAAGGACUUAAGUUGCCUGAAGCAACUAACAAACCACGAGGUAUGUUCUCAAUCAAAUUAAGGCGAUCACUGUAUGGGCUGAAACAAUCUGGGCGAAUGUGGUAUAAUCGUCUCAGUGAGUAUUUGAUUAAAAAAUGAUAUGCCAACAUUGUCAUCUGCCCUUGUGUGUUCAUUAAGAAAUCAAAUACUGGAUUUGCUAUAGUGGCAAUAUACGUCGAUGAUAUGAACCUAGUUGAAACCCCUGAAGAGCUCAACAAAACUGCUGAAUAUCUGAAAAGCGAAUUUGAAAUGAAAGACCUUGGGAAAACAAAAUAUUGUC